rnacentral:lncRNA from 1 species
UUAAUUCACCUUCCACUGUUGGAAGUUUGAAAUAAACAUCACUUUUCUAAUUUCCACUUUGCAGUAUUAAUGAGAAACACUGAUCAAACAAAUAAACAGAUUGUGUUGGUUUUCAGAGCAAGGUGACGCAUAACAUCACCGAAUCUAUAUGUGGACUAGAUCAAAUUCUUUUUGCAGUGCAUAUAAAUGUGGUCAUACAACUAAAGUUGAAAUCAAUCACAGGAGAAACAUAUAAAUAGCGAACAGUUUAGGGGAGAAGAUUAGAACAUACUGCAAGUCUGCAACGAUCCGGUCAAAAUUAUGAAGUGCGCAAGAGAGCAGCAAGCCAACAUUUACAGCCAAAAGAACACCUUAAGCUAAAUGUUGAUGUUUAAAAUUGGAGUCAAUUCCACUCGCAAGCAAAACGCAGGGAUGCAUUUCCAUGCAGUUUCUAACUUCUAAGGGGGGAAUAAACUGCAUGUAAUGGUGAGAUCUACUGUACAUGCAGCUGAUGUUAGCAGACAGAAAGCAUGCACCAGUGUCUGAUGUCUAGCACUAAAAGUGAGUAAGUGACUAUGAAAAAGAGACCUGCGAGUUAUGUACAGCUGAUGUCGAAAUGAUUUUUUUCGACAUCCUCCUUAGUCCUGACAAACAAAUCUAUGGGAAUUGCACAGUGCAGCAAUGAGCUCAGCAGCAGAAAGUGAAGGGACAAAUUACUGAAACAUCACUUUUUUCGACAUGCUCCUUAGUCCUAACAAACAAUAUCAAUCAGAGAAUGUAUCAAACUGACAUGAGAUACCCUUGGAAGUAAAAGAACAGUAAAUCUUAUAUAAACCCCGUCAUCCCACGAGGAUGGAUCCUUGUGCACUUGAUCUUGGGAAACUAACAUUUGUAGCAUAUCUAGGAAAAGAAAGAAGUCCAUUUUAGUCCCCGGAGUAUCUCACUUGUUCACUUAACCCCCUGAAGUAGAAUACAGUUCACUUAACUCCUUAGUCUACCCAAUACCGUUCACAAAUUCCCGUAAGUGAGUUACUAGGCUUGUUUGCUAAGUUGGACUCGGAUCAAAGAAUAUCUUAUAUGAUUGACCCCUUGAUCCCAUGAAGGAUCCUUGUGCAUUUGAGCUUGGGAAGCUAACAUUGCUGGCAUACCUAGUAAAAUUGUAAGGGCAGUUCGUACCUGAUGCACUCCUAACAGACAUCUAAUGGCAACGAUUGAGAGUCAGAAUCAGCACUGGCUGAAAACUGACAGGCAAGGAAUCAACAGCAAGCAAACUUAUCUCAUCACGCCUCUCAAGUAACUAGCACAAGUCACAGCAAACUCUCAUUACCAGACGAGAAAACAAGAAAAAGUACACACCCCCAUUUCUGUUUGCAAGAUCAAGACGAGAUCUACUAGCUAGAUUCCUUGAUCACCCCACCUCAAAUUGCAUCAUUCACCGAUCACUCUACCCAGCAUUAUUCAAUUUUCGCAUGAAUUAUGUUGAGAUCUACUUACGCAUCCACAUAAAGCAACACAUGUUUUUUAUGCUAAGGGGCACUAGAAAGGGGUGAAGUAAAGGCUGCUACGAGCUGAGAUCAGCUGACAUUACCAGUGCCUCGAGGUGCUUGUCAAACCCUUCGAGCUGCCCCCGCACGAAGGAGAGCGCCUCGGAGGCGGCAAUGAAGGCGGCGUAGUUCUCCACGGCCACCUCCUGCAUCUGCCGCCGCACCCGCUCCCCGUCCACCCGCAGCAGCUCCGGCUCCUGCGCCAACACGAACGCCACCACCAACACAUGAAGAGGUCACAGACACCAUGGAUCAUGGUAAGGAUUAUGGGGGCGCCGGAAGCGGCGGCCAUGGUCGCGCGGGCGUACCUUGUGGAGGCGCUCGAUGGAGAAGGAGAGGAGCUCGGAGACGUAGGGCUGGUAGGCGGCUCCGGAGAGCGGGAGCACGGAGGCGCCGUCCAUGUCGGCGCCCGCGGAGGAAGGUUCGAGCGAGUGGCGUUGGCCCGCGUCGAGGAGGUCCAUGGCGAGCGAGAUCUGGAGGGAGAGGAAGAAGAGAGUGGAGAAGGAGGUUGGGGAUUUUUAGCGGUUGAGGCCCUCGGGGUUUUGUUUAUCUUUGCAAAUUAGUCCUCAAAACUUCAAGAAUUUCACAUACCGAAUAUGUUUGUUUUUUUGACACACUUUGAGACUUGAGUAAACAUUAAUUGCUCGAAACUAACUCCUGCCGACUACAGUAAGAAAGGAAAUCGGCUAAAUACAUUAAUCACCGACCAUAUAACCUGGGUAUUUUGUGCCAAAUGUGUUUACGCUUAUGGUGACUAUUUGUCCAUCACACUUUUUUGUGACAAAUUGCAAUCUGUCUUAAGUUGGUCGUAGCAAGGUUAGUUUUCAGGGAUAAGUUUGCAAUGAGUGCAUGUGAGUUUGUUGAUUGAUGGUAGCUGCUACUAUGCAAAUCAACGUCAGUUAAUUUUGGGAUGGAGAGAGUAUUUGUGAGUUGAAGUUCGACUCUAUCCUUCUCGAAGACACCGACUUUUAGAAGACCAGAGGAAAUGUUUCAAUUUACAUCCUGUAUCAAAAGUUUGAGAAACAGGGAUCUAUGUCAACUAUUAAUGCAGGAAUUCUGAGAAGAAUUGAUGGUUCAUUCGCAGAAAAGUUCUCUGGAAACUAAAAAAUUGCAGAAAAUACGAAUUUUUUUCUUGGAGAAAAAAACUCAGAAAAUAAAAAAGCCCAACAAAUUUAUCACGUUGGCCUUGUAGGCCUGUAGCUGGCCCAAAAGAGCGUCGGAUAACUCGUCUUCUUCCUUCGGGCAAUUGGCUCUAGGGUUCGAUUAAGCAGACGAGUCAGUAGCCCACCAUGAAACGCCCACCACCACGCGACGACGCGGCGGCGGCCGGCAGCAGCGGAGGCGGCGGAGGGUUCAAAAAGGGGAACGGAAGGUGGGGCGGGAAGAAGCGGAACGAGCAGCGGCUGGGAGGCAGCGGCGGGGCGCUCUCCCUUGCGGCCUUCGCCAACGCCAAGUCCAGGAACACCGGCUACAACCCGGCGCUCAUCAGUGAGUAACUACUGCCUUCUUGCGGGUGCAGAACCACACGCAGCUUCUCUGUCUCUUGCUCAAAUUGGCUUGGUUGGCUUCUAAUCUGCAAGAACAAGCUUGUAAAAAACGUACAGCGUGAGUUAUUUCCCCUUCUGGAUUACGGGACAAGAUUUCGUACCCCAAAAUGCUCGAGAGCUUGGGUUAAUUUGGAGCGCCAAUAGUAAUUUUAUAGUUAACAUAUAGCAUCUGCGUUACCUUGCCCUGUUGGGACUAUGAGUAAAUCUGUUGUUUAGGAAUUCGAUGAUAGCCGAUAUUAUCUUCUGAUUUUGUCCCCUGAACUUUUUAUGUGCCCAGUUAGCUUAGUUUGGUCAUGGCACUUUGAUUAAAGCUCAGUGUUUAACUAAUUAAUAAUCCGAUGACACUGGGGAGGAGGUAAAUUAAGGUUUAUAUGAACUGUGUGCUUCAGAUAUAUUGAUGAAUUAGGGGAAGGAAAAAGUUGUUCAUGCUCAGCGAUGUAUUGUGACUAGACUAGAACUGUACUCCUUAGUCCUUACCUCAAGUUUUUAUUCUGGAUAAUUUACUCAUGGGAAAUUAAAUUUACUGUGACAGCUGUUCAUAUUCUCUUACAACUUAUGUAUUACCAAAACGGAGUGUGCAUUACCUAAUAAUGGAACACUAAACAUCAUGCUUGUAAUUGCUGCUUAAUACAGGAUCUGUUGCUGGAACCUGCCAUGUAGUUUUGACUUGUCUGUCAAACAAUUUCUGUCCAUUUCGAAUCAUAUGUCUCUAUGAUAUGUGCUGAUUCCUGUGUCGUCUGGUUUGUGUUGUAGUAGAAGUCCAAGUUUCUACAUAAUUGUUUGUGUAUUAAUCAUCAUUAUUCUCAUCUUCAGAGAAGCAGAAAGAGUUCUACAGGAAUGCUAAAUUGAUUAGCAAGUACAAAAGGUCAAGGAAGCAACAAAAUCAGUCAAACUAUACUCCACAAGUUCCAACCUGUGAGGUAAUUUUCUUCAAUACCAAGACUGUUUUGCCUUUUAAGCGAUAAUUCGACCAAUGCUGAUAGUAUGUUGAGGUUGAACUUUUGAUGGGCUUAUGCAUUAUUUUUACUUUAUUUUUAUAAUAGAAAGACAUGUGGACAGUUUUUAUAGGACAAGACCACAUCCAAUACUUGUCAGAACUCUAAAUUGUUCAUUAUUAGUUUUACAAAGUUAACAGGUAGGCUCCACGUCUUGAUCCAAUUUACAUUUAUAGGAAGGAGAUGUUGAUGCAGAGGAUGAGCCAAAGACACAUGAUAAGAGGAAGAAGCGCACUUCACAAAGCUUGAAAGUAGAGUACGAGAAAAAGCGUUUGGAGGAUGAGAAGGCAAAGAAGGAGCGGGAUGCGAUAAUCCAGGCAAAGAAGGAGGAGCGAGAGAAGUCCGAAGCAAAGCGGAAGGAGCUGAGAGAGAAGAUGUUUAAGAGGACGCGAUCAGGGCAGCCAGUGAUGAAAUACAGGAUCGAGCAUCUCUUGGAGACUGCACUGGAAAGCUCAAACAAGUGAGUGGUGAUAAAUUGAUAUGUUCUAUGACUAAUGCCACAAUUGCAAUAAAAAUCUAGUUCAAUGCAGUGAUAAGUUUGUUUUAUUUGGCUUUUGUUUCUUCAGUUUAUACAUCUUGGCAAUGCAUAUUUAGUUUUGAUCAUCUCCAUUCGAUUUUUCCUCAGUGCAUUCAUACCAUGCAAUCGGUAGUUGCAAAAGAGUUAUAAAAUCAUUGGAUUUAUUGAGCCAUGACAUCAGUCCGUAGUCUGAGAUUUAUGCUUCCUUCCCGUUCAUACACUGCCCGUCUUUGCAGAUUAAGAAAAGAGAAAUGAAUGCAGAAUAUACAAGUGAGUAGAACUGGGCAAUUGACGUAAAUAUUUAUUGUCGACACAAUGUAGGGUUAGUGACAUCUACUGUUUACGUUUUCUUUGACCCGUAUCUGAACAGUUUUAUGACGAGGUGUUGUACAUCCAUCGUAUAUGUUAUACUAAGGUUGGUUGUCCUCCAUUUAAAAUAUACUGAUGAAUAAUCCGUCUAUCCACGCCCUUCAAUCGGGGCGAUGCUGUUAUGCUGUCGCUGUGCCGUGGGUGCUCGAGGGUGCCAAUGCCGUACAAUUGCGAUGGCCCCGAGCUACGUGGGUCAUUCUUACAGGAUAAUGGACUUUGUUGACGUUUUCUUGCUUGAUUGGGAAAUUUAUCUACUUUGUCAGACAAAUCUCAACAUCCCUUGCACUUUGUUCUCGCCAUCACAAAAUCACCAUGUUACAGUACUUGGUAAGAAUGUGAUGACAUAAUUGUCUAACAGAAGAAGGUUUAUGUACCAAUCUGAUCAAUGCAAAGAUAAUGUGACAAACCAAAACUCCCAAAUAAUAUGACCUAAUGCUAAUUUGUUAGAUAGAGAAGAGAAGAAAAGAAUUGCAUUUAGUAAUGGCUACGGCACACUUUCAUAGAUGUGUGUUUUCUCAAAUCUCAAUUCAAGAAGAACAUCUUCUCGAAAAAAACAAAUGAAGCAUGGAUCGGUUUGUAAGGCAUAUUUUUCAAACAUGUUGCACAUCUACAAAAAAUAAAUUUUGUUCGAGAUAAACAAGUGCACGAUUUGAAAUCACAAGUACUCACGGCCACAAGCAUAUAUUCUUUUCUUCUUUCUUCUGAGUGCACAUGAUCCAGAAAUCCAUUAUCCAGUAGCUAAGCCUUGGUUUGUGGUUGCUAAACUGUGUGGCGCUGAACAUAGGAAAAAUACACAUGGAAAUAGGAAAAAAUUGGUUAGCCAAACAAUAAAAUAAGCAUAAGUGGGUGGGGCAGACGGAAUUAUGAGCAUCCACUGCAAUGUCAAACACAGCCUAUUCUGCAUGCGGAAGAAGCUAAAACAAACUACCAGGAAAACACAUAUGAUUUUUUUUUGUACAAUUGGUUCCAAACAAGGUCCAAGAGUACAUCCUAAAUUCUUGUUGAUGUCGAAUGUGAGUGCUAUGCUAAUAGAUGCAAUACAGGUAAAAUCAUCAUUAUUUGCAUUGCAAAGCCUCACUUAUUAUUGUGAACCUGUGGCAAAGAACAAAUUAUCUCAUCAUCUGUGUUGCCUUCAUUUCUUAAGAUGUUUCCUUAAGAUUUGCUCUAUAAAUUUUAUGAGCUGUAGAUGAUGAAUUGAUGAUCACCAAAUUCUUGACAAAAAUGUGAAAAUUGAAGGAUGCAAAAGCAGAUACGGGUCAAAGAAAACCUAAACAGAAAUAAGCUUUCAUCUAGGCCCUGAUAAAUGUGAAUCAGGUGGAACAUAGGAAGAACUUGACCCUGCAACACCAGCAUGGUUUGGUGCAAAACUAGGGACAAAGCUGUAGUCUGGUGUAGCCUCCAAGCUCGUCACGCCCUCCAACACCUUUGCGACCGUUGACAUCAAGGGCCUUCUGUUGCUAUCAACCUGCAAGCACCACAUUGCAAGCCUCAUCACUUCCAUGACCUCCUCCAUAUGAAAUUGAAUAUCAUUGCUGGCACUGUCCACUAAAUCUUUGAGCUGACCAGACCUUGCCUUCUCUUCGAGCAUGCUUAUAAGGUGGAUGCUCUCCUCGGGCUGCGAUUCAUCCAAAUUCUCUCUGCCACAGAUAAUUUCCACCACCACAAUCCCAAAGCUGUAGAUGUCAGCCUUCUCAGUAAUUUUUGAGCCCAGCCAUUCGGGUGCUAGAUAUCCACGUGUUCCCCGCAUCCGAGUCAUAAUUUUGCUCUGGUCCCUGUUUAUCAUUUUGGACAAUCCAAAAUCAGAGAGCUUUGCAUUAAACCUGUCAUCAAGGAGAAUAUUCUGUGGCUUGAUGUCCAAAUGGGCAAUCUUUUCCUUGCAUUCUUCAUGGAGGUAUGACAGAGCCCUCGCAGUGGCCAUUAUGAUCUUACGUCUAGUUUUCCAAGACAGAGUGAAAACUGAACAUGCAUGAAAGAUCCAUUUAUCCAGUGAACCGUUGCACAUGAACUCAUAGACGAGAAGCCUGUGCGAUUUCUCGGCACAAAAUCCAAUCAACCUGACGAGAUCAUUGUGAUGUAUUUUGCCAAUUGUCAUGACCUCUGCUAAGAACUCCUCCGUUCCUUGUUCAACACCUUCCAAACGUUUGACGGCAAUUGUUUCCCUGCCUAUCUUGCCUUUGAAGACUGACCCAAAGCCACCAGCCCCAAGCUUCAGAGAGAAGUUGCCAGUAGCUAACUUCAACUCGUGAAAGGAGAAACGCUUUGGUGUCCCAGGUAUGCUAUCAAAGAGCUGUUCUUCCUCUUUCUUGCACUUUUUCCAUAUGGCAGCAGAGCAUAAGAUUGCAAGUGCAGAGAAACUUGCAAUUAUUGAGCCGACUAUAGUUCUGAUCUUCCUUCCUCUUGAUCGAUUGCCUUGUAUCUUAAUGUAUGCUGAAAAGCGGAACGGCGAACCUUCUGCCAGAGAAAUUAGCUUCUGCUCUGAUAACAACAAGCAGUAACCAUCAUCAGUGUAACCAUAAUUCUGGAAAAGGGCAACCUUGCAAGAGCAAUCCAUCAAGCAAGUUUGCUUGCAGACCUGUUCUGAUGGACUUGGAGUGGCUAAUGACCGGAACAUGCUGUUACUGAAGUAAGAAAUGUUGCUGAGUGGUAGCAACUGGUGGUCGUGCGCAUGGUUGCAAGAGAUGGUGGUUAAGUGCACGCAUCCAGCAUCUGGAUGCCGUUCAUUUUCGGACCUAAAGUAGCUCAAACUAGGACAAGAACACUGUCCAUGACUGCAAACACCAUAAUCACCACAGGCCAAUGGGUAAUCACAAAAGUUCAUGGCCAUGCUUAAUACAUCAAACAGCAGCCGUGGGUUUGAGUAGCCCUGCAUCUCAUAAAGCCUCAAAUGCCCAUCUGACUCUAACCGCAUGUACUGCAUGAAUUGUGAAGAUCUUGCUAGUGGCAGUGAGAAGACCUGAUUUGGGAACCCAAAGCUGCCAUUGACAAAUCUAUAGCAAUUUGAUGUCUCACUAGUAGUUGUACUGAAUAAUUGUGAAUAGGCUGCUGGUUGGUAUGAAUACUGCAGCCCUCCCAACUCUGCAGAAAGAUAAACCCGAGCAGAUGGCCAUUUUGUUUUGGAAGGUUUUACGCUGAGGUUCAUGCCCCUACAGAGUGAUUGUCCCAGUACUAACGUAUCUGUCGGGUGGUCAAGCGUCUGCCAGACAGAGGAGCUGUUCUGAUGAAACAGCACAAGGUUUCCUGAAGCAUCUAGCCGCAUGCCGGCAAUUGACUUGUUCUUUGUGCCUGUGGACCAGAUCACAGUGCCAUUGACGUCGUUGAGCAGCAGGUUACCUUCUUUGGUGAAGUUCAAGGUGGCGUCCUGGCUUACAGGACUAUCAGGGUUGGCUGACCAGAUGACUGGAUUCUCGGGCCCCAAAAGUAACACAGAGAGAGUGAAUGCAUGCCCAUCCGUGGUGUAGAAUCCAAAGUAAAUUCUAUAUGAGCUACUGCCACUCUCGAGUAUGACAAGGGCACUGGAACUUCCUGCCAUGUUUAGUCUGCUUUGCAUACUGGAGAUUUUCCAGUGAUUUGAGGGAGCUGCCGUGGAGAGGUAGGCAACAACUGUGGGCAGGAUAGGGAAGGCAAGAAGGAAAAUGAUGGCCAUCACCAUGUUAAAAUACUGCUUGAUCAUCUUGUUGUACUUGUGACCAGGAAGAGCUUGUGCAUCCAGCAACUGGAUCCUGGUCCGCUUCCUCUGUCUGAGGUAUUAUUUGUCAUCUCAACUCUGGUGUAUGAAAACUGACAGGCAGAAGAGACAUCGUAACUAUAAGAGUGUAAACUUUGGAAACUACGAAGCGCCAAGGAACAUUGAGAUGAAACAAGGCAUCUGAGAAUGUCAAUUGGAUCGCAGGACGUACCGUGUGAAAGAUUGGUGCUUCUCUAGAACAUGAAAGAAAGCAGAGUUGUUGCGUAAUCCACUAUUUGAUUGCCAUGAUUGAAGAAGCGUCAUACUCCUGAAUCCUGAUACAUUACACAGUUUCUUCGAUGCAGGAAGGCCAUGGACAGGAUACGCUGAAGAGAUAUAUAGAACCACUAAUAUAUGAAGAAGUCCAAAGGUAGCCAUCAACGGCAUUAUUCUUUGGUCAGCCAUCAACGGCAACGUACCGUGAUUAACUUGUGCAGCCCGUGCCUUUUAGUGGCUGGUCGUUGUUCUCUUUGACUGCUUCUCAACUCUCAGUGGAAGUUAGUUGUGUCCUAUUUUGUUCUCUUUGACUUUCAAUUUUCGAAGGUUGAUGCCUGAGCUACUCACUUUCAGCCUCACGUUGAUUUCUGGUCUCCAACUUGUAAACGAACUUGGGAUCGGGAGAAGAUGCUCAAGAGGACUAGAUCAGGGUAGUCUGGAUCGACCAUCUAUUGAAGACUGCACAGGGUGGUGCCCUAGAAUUGCUGGGCAUUUUAAAUUUGAAUCUAUAACCUACACCUAACAGAAGCCAAAACAAAUUGCGGAAAAUAAGAAGAAAAACAUGUUUUCCCUUUUAUCAUAAUUGUUUUGCUAUAUAAAGGGGCGUCGCGUAUCCAUGAAAACCAACUUUACUGGGUAAACUCAUUGGAAACCAUCUUAAAACGUUUACAAUAUUCUAGAAAAAACUGCAUAUGCUAGGGAAGUGAUGUUUUACAUAUUUGUAAAAUUUCAAGUCCAAACUCAAUUGCGUUUAUCUGCAGGGAUUUUUUUAACAUGAACAGUGGUUAUUCACUGUUUGGCACUAUCCAUUUGCAUAUCGCUUUUUUUUGUCUCUUUAAAUGCAAUUGAGUUUUAAUCUGAAAUUUUUGCUGGUUUGUAGAACAUCACACCUUCAGCAUACUAUAUUUUUGUCGGAAUUUUUUGAAACUUCUAAAUAUGAUUAGUAUGAAGUUUGCACCGAAAGUGUGGUUUUCGCCCGAUAUUUUGUCAUAAAGGGGUAUGCCAUUUGAGAUAAAUUCAUGCGAACAGUUUCUUGCAUCCGAUGUAAAUAUCAGCAGCCAAGUUAGAGAGAUUGACUUUGUCGUUGUCCAAAACAACUUCUAAUUGUGUCAAAAGUAACUAUUAAUACAUGGAUUUAUAUAAAUUACUCCCCCCGAUCCUAAAUUGUUGUCGAAAUAUUACAUGUAUCUAGACACUUUUUGAAAAUAGAUACAUCCAUAUUUGGGCAAAUUUGAGUCAAGAAUUUAGAAUCAGAGGGAGUAUGUCAAUAGAUUAAAAAAAGAUUGAUUGUCCAUUUUAGUUUACACACUUCAUAUCGUGUCAAAAGUAGCUAUUAAUGAUUCCUCUUGAAAAUAAAGGGAUUUAUAUAAAUUAGUAGUGCAGGAAUUUCGGGAAGAUUGAUGGUUCAUUCAGAAAAAUAAAGUGUACAGAAAAAUGUUCUAGUGCUUACAAUAUCAAAUACGUAUAUCAUGACGGAUUUCGUAAAGCUAAUUUAGAGUUACAGAUUUUGGUUUACAUUUCUAUAAACUUGACCAAAUUUUAAAAAGUUUGACUUAUGACAUAGCUAGAGCAUCUUAUAAAAAUGAACCGAGGGAGUGUAUAUAUUGUUAGUUAAGCAACAUUGAAUACUAUAUGUUUUUUUUUGUCUUGUUGAUCUUUUACUUUGGAGUAAACUAAUGACUGAGAAAAAGUAUUAUGAUGGUUUCAUUAAAUCAUAUUAUGAGAAACUAUGUAUACUCGGAUUGAGUUAAUCCACUACACUCUCUCCGUCCUGAAAGCUAAAACGGGCCGGAAUAGAUUCCACGGCAGCACUUGAGGAGGUAAUGAUGGAAUAAUAAUUAAGACGAGACAUGCAUGAGGAGGAAAUAUAUAUAGACUGGGGAGUGGGGAUAUAUGGAUAUGAAUUAAUUAAACGGAGAAUCAAAUCGAAGUAUCAAACCCCAUUAUCCCACGCAGACGCAGCACAAGAUAAAAGCUCAGUAGCUCUCCCUGCACGCAGUUAACUUGCUCCGUCCAUUGAAAGCAAAAGCCCAGCCACCAGCGAUUCGAUCCGGUCGGUCGAAAAAGGAAAUCAAAAUAGAUACCCCUCCGUCCUCCGUACCAUAUUAAAUGAUUUUAUAUUACUUGUAUCUAGACGUUUUUUAUGCAUAAAUAAAUUCAUAUUCGGAUAAAUUUGAAUCACUUAAUAAAACAAGAAAGUAGAUGCUAAUACCAAUUAUUGUUGAUUGUACCAAGCACGUGUCCGUCUCCGGCCAGUGGCAAGCUACAGUAAGCACCCAAUAAGGCUAUAAAUAGAAGAGUGUACCGGGCAGAUGGACGAUGAGCUAGUAGGCACUACCAUACAUACAUAUCUCCAUGGGAGGUGGUAGCAAGGAGCUGAGCUCCACCAACACCAACGACAAUACUACUGAUCAUCAUCAGGACACCAAUAGCAGAGGAUUAGGCCGCCAUGGAUACUAUGACCCUGCUGCCGCCUACUACUCCUCCCCUCCCAUCGCUUAUCCUCCACCAGCAGUUCAUGGAUGCCCCCCAUCUUAUUACCCUCCUUCUCAAGGAUAUGGAUAUGGCCAUGGAUAUGGACAUGGCCAGGCCUAUCACUCUUCUUAUCCACAGCAUCACGCCUACGGCAGCAGUACCGGCUAUCAUGGUAGGUCAACCGUGGAUUGAUGAUGGAUGAGUAGAAUUAUUAUUUGAGUGAACUUCACUUUUUACCCCUUCUAAGUUUCAUUUUAGGGAAAGAAAUCCUUCGUUUCACCCCACUCUAAGAAACUUAUGACACAAUUUUACGCAUAUUUCGGAAUACGCUUCCUAUCAAGGUUUAAAACUUUGGCAACCCUGAAAUUUGAAAAGUCACAAAAAAUAAGAAAGUUUUAAAAUUCAGUUUAUGUAUUAUAUUGACCAAACUACCUAGUUGGUGACACGUGGGACCACUCUAUAUUGCAUCCUCGAAUUUAAGUUUGGUAAAAGAAAUUGUUAUUGUUUUUUCAAAUUUCAGUUGCAUUAAAAAAGUAGGAUUGUCAAAAUUUUAAAUCUUGAUCCGAAGUCCUCCGCUCUGGAGGCAACCCCGCCAGAGGCCUGACAUGUGGCACCACUUUAGGAUGACAGGAAAUUUUAAAAGGAUAAAACCAUGUCACAAGUUAAUGGAGUGGGUAAAAAAAUAUGACAAAUUUUAUUAGAGUGGGUAAAAGGUGAGAUGCACUUCUAUUGUUUUAUUCCAACUUGGGGUUGAGCAUGCAAGUAUGUGUGUGUAUACAUGCAGGCCAUGGUGCUUUGUACGUUGCCGGCGGUGCAGCAGCAGCUGCCUAUGGCGUGCAUCACUUGAGCCAUGGCGGCCAUCAUCAGGGUGGAUACUACCCAUAUCGCCAUGGGGCAGCUGGAUAUCAUCAUUACGGUGGCAAGUUCAAGAAGCACCAUGGAGGACACUAUGGUGGCAAGUUCAAGCGUGGCAAGUUCUUCGGAGGUGUAGGCUUCCUCCAUGGGAAACACAAGAGGUGGAAAUAGAAGCAGCUACCUAGACCAAUAAUGGGAAAGCUUCUCCUAGUCUUUGUACCUCCAUAAUCCAUUGUACCCAACGGCUGGAUAGCUAUGAAUAAACUGAUGAAUGAAUGUUGGGAAUAAUUUGGGAAUAUGCAUGCGAUCUAAGUUGGGAACCGGUGGACGGCAAUGACUCGACUAAAUCAAGGUGCCGAGGAAGGAAGGAUCUAUGUUUUGGGAAAAGCAUCGCCACACUUAUCACUGUCCCCAAGACCUCUAGCGUUCCAAGAGCAAAAAGAGAAUGGAAGUGAAUUAAGCAUAAAGAUCGCCGAUGCACCGCUUUAUUGUAGUCUAGCUAUUACUCCCUACGUGCCGAAAAGGCUGGCGCGGAGGCCUUCACAAUUCACAUUUCCAAUUAAGUCCAACAAUUGAUUACAAUUACACUUUAUGAUCUCAGCAAUUUCAGAUUACACAAUCAGAGAGGAGGUACAGCCGAAAGGCAAAUUAGACGAUCUCACAGACGAGCUACAUCCGCAAAAUCAAAUCACAAUCCUAGAGAGGAGCUAUAGCCGAAAAUUCAAAACACACAGAUCAGAGGAGAGCUACAGCCGCAGAUCCAAAUCACGGAAACCGACUUGCAGGUCUAGGCGACGCGGGGAUCGCGCUAGCCAAGCACGCCCAUCUGGAUCUCGAACCCCUUCGCAUAGCAGGCGAUGGACUCGUCGGCCGAGCAUGGCGUUCUUCUCGCCGAGCUGCAUCCAGCCACAGAAGGCCGCGAGCGCCCACUCCUCCCCCUUCCGCUGCUGCUUCUCCUCCUCGGGCUGCUGCUGCUGCGGCGGCGGUGGCGGAUCAUGGCGAGCUCGUGCUUGGCGCCGCACUCGACGCCCCCGCCUUCCCCAGACACCAUGGCGUCCCGCGAAAUCGGAUCCGGCCUCGCCGACGCUGGAUCCGGGGAUUCUUGGCAAAUCAAAGCCAACUUCAUUGCCGGCGAUUCUUUGGCAAGGGGAGAGCAGCACAGGGGAGGGGAAGAUGCGGGCAAAAGAUGAGAGAUGGAGGAGCUCGGCGGAGGCGAGUGGCAGAGGGGUGGAGCCGAGCAGAGACGAGGAGACGCGGAGUAUCGGGCGGCGGUGACGAGGAGAUAAGGGAGGAGACGAGCAGGUAUUGAGACGAAUUGAUUAUACGAGAGGGUUGCGGGUACGUUCGAACAAAUGCAGGGCUGUUUUUGCAAAACGACCGGUCAUGCCAAUCUUUUCGGCACGGAGGGAGUACAUUUUUUUAUAACAGCAGGAGUUGGCUAGACAGCCAGAAGAGUCGAGAGCAUCGGAGAGAACAUUGAUGAAACAAAAUGAGGCAUGCGGCAGACGGUGCACAUAAAACAAAAUUCCAGAAACAUGCACGUUCUAUGUUUGUUCUUCCUUUGCCUCUCUUUUUUUUUCGUCCACCGCAAAUCAAUUGCUGCAAUCAAAACACAAGAUUAACAUGAAUAAAAAUGAUUAGGAAUAAAAAAAUAAAAAGGACUGUUUCAACACUUUCCAUGGCUUCCGCUGCAGUGAGUGCAGAGUAGAAGCAGAGGACGUGUGUACUCGAGAGGGAAUGCCUCGGGGAGAAGCACGGCCAGCUCGGCGUUGAGCUGCUGUUGGGUGGGGAGCGAGAGCUUUUUGGUUGGCCGGUCACAGCGGGGCGGCCAUGGCCGGGCAGGGCGCGGAGACCAAAGAAAUCACCUCCCCUGUUUUGGUUUUGGUCUUGCUGGUCAGCGGCAGGGUCUUUGGAAGAGACAAGACCAAAAUACCACAGAGGCUCUUUUCGUUUCAUCGUCUCAGCAAAAGUUUGGCAGGGGCAAGGCAACCGAGGCUCAGAAUGCAUCUCACGAAUGGCGAUGCAAAUGUCGCGAGGACGUAUAAGCUUUCACAUGUUCUCAUUUUUAUUUAUUUUUACAAUCAACACGUAUAUCAAGAUUUUUUUUAAAAAUCUAAGAAAUAAACAGUCAAAUUCGUUGUCCGUACCGACAAGAGCCCAACUUGUCUUCUUCUUCUUCUUUUCUUUUUUGUUCUCCAUGUUCUGACCAAUGUUGACCGAAGUUGCUCUGUUGCAGGUUUUCUCCUCAGCUCUUGGACCGGAUCUCGGACAAUUGCUCGAUAGGAAGUAAUGCGGAGACGGUGACUCCGGAGCUAUCUAGCACCAUCUUCACAGCCACAUGUUUCACCUCAGGGCCACCAAAUUAAUUUAUUUUGUCCUAUACUACAGAGAGAUUAGUAGGGAAAUUAGUACUUGCGGCAAGCACUUAUUUUUUUACUGACGACUCUUUAUUUUUCUCUAGUUCUCUCGUUCUCUGCAUCUCUGUCCUCAAGUACAUUGUUCUCUCGUUCUCUGCAUCUCUGUCCUAUUUUCAAGUACAUUAUGGUACAUGACAUGUUUUUAAGUACAUAUUUAGUAGAUUAUGAUAAUUAAUUGCAUUUUAUCAGUUUUCAAAUACCCCGUGUACAUGAACUUAUAAGACGAGUACAACGUAUGGUACAUCACAUGUAUCUUAUUAGUUUUUAAGUACCUCGUGUACAUAGACUUAUGAGACGAGUACAUCGUAUGGUACAUCACAUUUAUUCAGAAAAAACACAGUACAUGACGAGUACAUCAAGUUACAUGACAAGUACAUCAAGGUACGUCACAGAUACAUCAAGUUACAUGACAAGUACAUCAAGGUACCUCACGGAUACAUCAAGUUACAUGACAAAUACAUUAAGCUACAUCGCAGAUACCUCAUCAAUCUUACAUCAUAACAAUCCGAUGGAUCAAAGAGAUAGAGAGAAGGGAUCGAAGAGAAGAACUCGAAUUCAAAUUUAAAUUCAACAAAACCAAGUACGUAAGUACAUAUGUAAUCGAAUUCAACAAAGCAUAAUCACAGGAGAUAGAAAAUCCUUCGUAAGUACCUCAUCAAUCACAAUCACAAUCACAAUCACAGUACCUCGUCAUGUACCAUGAUACAUCACUUGUACCUCGACAAUUAUUAAGUACAUCAUCAUAUCUUGACAAAAUCACCAAGAAACAAAUAAUAGUACAUAGAUCAAAUAAAUUUUAGAAGAUACCUAAAGCACUGAGAUGCAAGAAAAAAUCUCAAUUCAAAAAAAAAUCACAGCAGGAACAUCAUGUACCGGGACAAAAAAUCAGAUCGAGAGAUGCAGAAAGAGAAUCAGAUCGAGAGACGUGGAAAUCUGCUGCUCCAAACGUGAACAGCGCAGUGGAGGGAGCCGCCACAGGGGAGGAAUGGGAGCCCAGCACGACGGCCAUGGUGGAAGAGGACGCAGGAGGGCGGCUCGUCUGCCGCGCUGGAGGAGGGGCUGGCGUCCGCGACGGCCCGCAGGGGCGGCGGCCGCCGAGGCACGCAAGGGCGGCGCCCGCCUUGAGCCUGAGCACGCCUAGAGGUGCACGGCAGCGUCGUGGGGAGGUUAGGUGGGCUGCGAGGGAGAGGCUGCGAGGGGGAGAGAGAGACGAGACGAGAGAUAAAGGAAAGGUGCAGUUAAUUAGGGAGUAAACGAGAGAGAAUUAAAAAAAAGGAAAGAUGAUUAAAGAGAAUGAAGGGACACGUGGUUGGUUACCAAGAUGGCGCUAGAUCGGGGGGGAGUCAACCGGAGCUUUGGCCGAUAGGAAGCCCUUCUCCUCGCAGGGUGCCUACUCAGCUCUCAUGCCCCCUCAAGCCUCAUACUACAAAUUUGAUAUCGUAUCCAUGUCAAACGUACCGAAGAAGGUGCAAAUUUUUGGUUGGUUUCUCUCUGUCCGCUGGCUGAACACUAGAGCAAAUAUACGCACACCGGAAUAAAAUCAUCAACUACACAGAUUGCCCUUGAUGUAAUGUCUUGAUCGAAGAAAGAAAUCACCAAUUCCUCCGUUACCCGGCUUCGAUCUAAAAUCUAGAUCUGAUAGUCCUUUAAACACAAAAAUAAAUAAAUUAUGAUGUACCACCUUCGUCUCUAAAUAUAAGAUGUUCUAUCAAAUUUGUAGAAAAAUCUACUAAUGUCCACAAUAUAAAAUAAACAUACUAUAAAAUAUAUGUUAUGACAGAUUUAAUAAAACAAAUUUGAAUAUAGAUGUCGGUAGAGAUCACCUAUUCCUCCGUUGCCUGGCUUCGAUCUCAGCUAGACGGUCCAGGCAGCAUCUAGGGCUGAAUUAAAUUCCCCUAUAUAGGAAAGAAAGUGUCAAUGUAACAAUGUGGCAAGUUCCUUCUUAGGGAGAAAUUCCCCUAAGUAAGACAGGUCCAAGAAUCCUACUCGGAGAGAUCCUCAGGUCGCAAUCGCUUUAAGUGACACCCUUAGAAGGAGUUCGGAGGCCCUGUGGGAGAGCAAGUCAUAACUAUCUGACACGUGUCCAAGGAGAACCGCUGGUAAGUUUAGGCUAGAUAUAUAAAUCACGCGGUUUGGUUGUUUUCCUUGAGAGAAUAAAGCUCAAAGCAAAAGUAGGCCUAUCACCCUUUCUAGGGGGCCUUCGCAAGUCGAGGGAGUGUAACUCGAACAAAACCGAGGAUUGAUCACAUAAACGACUCCAGUGAAAAAGGAUAAAGUUAUAGCUCGGCGGUUGGCAGGGAGAGGGGUAUUUUCGUAGGUGAAAUAUUUCUGGAGUUGAUCGAUUCAAGUGACUUACUGAUGAAUCGAAGAGAAAGACCAAAAAAUUCUUCUGUGAUAUCCGCCGAGGAACUAAGCAUGCAAACAAGAGUAAAAAGAAAAAUUACAAGAAGCUCUUGGCCUCGAGAUAUAUCCAAUAACAGUUGAGGCUAAACUCUGAUGCAGCAAUGCAUUACCUUAGAACAAGAAAGAAUUGGAGCAUCUUCUCCACUCCGGCCUGCCCUCACUGGCACCAGCGCUUUUUAUAUGGUAACUGGAAUAGAUUCCGCAUGCACAUAUAAUAAUACACUCUCUGGCAUGCAGGUGAUAUAUAUGAAAUAUGAAUUGCACGAUCCAUGGAUUAAAUCGAAUCCCAUUAUCCCACGCAGCACAAGAUAAAGCCCAGCUCUGAUCCGCAUGCAGUUAAUUUGCUCCGUCCAUCGAAAGCAAAAGGCUAAGCCAGUGAUUCUAUCCGGUCGGUCGAAAAAGGAAAAUCAAAGCAGAUGCUUAUACUAAUUAGUGUGGAGUGUACCAAAAAAAGCACGUGUCAAGCCCAGCUGCAUAGCUAAGUUCUUAAGGCUAUAAAUUGAAGAGUAUACUGGCAGAUGGAUGGUGAGCUAGCCUAACUAGCUAGCACGAUCAGACCAUAGCCAUGGGAGGGGGUAACAAGGAGCUGAGCUGCACCAACACCAACGACAACAUUGCUGACGUCCAUCAUGACAGCAGAGGAAUAGGCGGCCAUGGAUCCUACGACCCUGCUGCCGCGUACUACUCGUGCCCUCCGAUCGCAUAUCCUCCACCAGGAGUACAUGGGUGCCCCCCUUCUUGUUACCUUCCAAACCAAGGUUAUGGGUAUGGAUCAAUGGACAUGGUCAGUCCUAUGCUGCCUCUACUUAUCCACACCAUCAUGACUACGGCAGAACCGGCUAUCAUGGUAAUCUCCGUUCCUAAAUAAAUACAGGAUGUUCAGGCUUUGUUUUAAGUCAAACUUGUUAAUGUUUAUAAAAAUAUAUACUACUCCCUUCAUUUCAUAACUUUCAUGUCUCAAAUUUACCAAAAAAAGGAUGUAUGUAUUUUUUUUAAACGUCCAGAUACAUGUAAUAUUUCGACAAGAAUUAUGGAACGGAGGAAGUAGCUAACAUGCACAUUUAUAUUAUCAAAUAAGUAUCCCAUGAAAAUGUUAUGUCAUGACGAUUCAAUAUAAUUACUUUAAGAGUUGUAGAUAGGUUUUUUUAUAAACUUUGUUAAAUUUGAAAAAGUUUGACAUAAGACAAAGUUAAUUCGACCAAGUUAGAACAUCUAUUUUAGAAACAGAGGAAGUGUUAAUGUGUCAAGCAUGGAUCGAUCGAUCAUGGACAUGUAUAUAUACAUACAUGCAGGCCACGGAGCAAUGUUCGUUGUCCGCGGUGCAGCAGCAGUUGCCUAUGGCGCGCAUCGCUGGAGCCAUGGCGGCGGCCAUCACCACGGUGGAUACUACCCACAUCGCCCUGCAGUAGCUGCUGGAUGCCUUCGCUACGGUGGCAAGUUCAAGAAGCACCAUGGAGGACACUAUGGCGGCAAGUUCAAGCGUGGCAAGUUCUUCGGAGGCGUAGGCUUCAUUCAUGGAAAACACAAGAGGCGGAAAUGAGUUUCCAAUAAUGUGGAAGGAAAGCUUCUUCUAAAUAUGUGCACUCCAGUACUAUCCCCGACGGCUGGAUAUGUAUGGAUAACUAACCAAUGAAUGCUGGUAAUAAGUCGGGAACAAAUAUUAAUAAAUUGUUGGUACAUACAUAUGCAUGGCAAAUAAAUUGAAUUUGUAUUUGAUGUGGCAUGCACGUGUAGAUAUGGGGGUUAUCCUCCUUUUAAAACGAAAAAAGAAAACGUGCGCUGCAGAUAUGGACGUAUGCUUGAUAACAAAAGGCAAAAAAAAAGAAAAGGCGUGCGCCACAGUCUGCACCUUGUACGAUAGAAUACCGUAUAUAUACACGUCUCCGGCCUGGCAUGAGAUGGAUCUUGUACAGAUCGACAGAUGAUGGAGUACUCGUACUCGUACUCGGAAGGGUACAUCAAGAACGCCCGCGGGAUGCGGCUCUUCACCUGCCGAUGGCUCCCCGCAAAUCCCCGGCAGCCCAUCAAGGCCCUCGUCUUCAUCUGCCACGGUAUUCUACCUCCGUCUUCGUCUUUACUCUGUAGUGUUAACGAAUGAAUGAAUUUGCAUUGGCGAUUACUGGCAAUGGCAGGGUACGCGGUGGAGUGCAGCGUGACGAUGCGCGGCACGGGGGAGCGGCUGGCGUCGGCGGGGUACGCCGUCUACGGCAUGGACUACGAGGGCCACGGACGCUCCGACGGCCUCCGCGGCUACGUCCCCUCCAUCGACGCCCUCGUCGCCGACUGCGACGCCUUCUUCACCUCCGUCAUCUCCGCCGCCGCCCGCAACAACAACAACAACCCUCCAAAUUCAAAUUCAAAUGCAGAUCCAGAUGAUUGCCCCUCUCCUGCUCCUCUCCCCCGGUUCCUCCUCGGCGAAUCCAUGGGCGGCGCGGUGGCGCUGCUGCUCCACCGGUCCCGCCCGUCCUACUGGUCCGGCGCCGUCCUCGUCGCCCCCAUGUGCAAGAUCGCCGACGGGAUGAAGCCGCCGCGGCCCGUCAUCCGCAUCCUGGAAGCCAUCGCGACCCUCGUCCCCAAGUGGAAGAUCGUGCCGACCAAGGACGUCAUCGACGCGGCGUACCGGACGGCGGCGAAGCGGGCGGAGAUCCGGCGGAACCCGUGGUGCUACAAGGGCCGGCCGCGCCUGGGGACGGCGCACCAGAUGCUGGCAGCCAGCGUUCGCGUAGAGAAGGAGGUGCUCCCGCUCGUGUCGCUGCCGUUCCUCGUCGUCCAUGGCGGCGCCGACGCCGUCACCGACCCCGCCGUCAGCGCCUUGCUCUACCGCACCGCCGCGAGCGAGGACAAGACGUUGAGGCUCUACCCUGGGAUGUGGCACGCGCUCACGUCGGGUGAGUUGCAGGAGAAUAUCGAUGCCGUGUUUGCUGACAUCGUCGACUGGCUCGACCACAGAUCGUCUUCUUCGUCGCCGGCCGUGUCUGGAUCUACGGUUGCUUAGUUUAGUCCAACUUUUUUUUAUUAUCGCUGGGUUAGCGCUGCUCGUGCUGCUGCUACUCCAGUACUCCUACAAUUGCAUAUAUAGGUUUUUUUUAUGGAGUAGGUAAUUGCAUAUAUAGGUGUUGAUAUUUCUAUGAGAAGUUACAAAAGGUUGUCAGUUUGACAUACUUCAUCAAUUUUUAGUACACUCGAUGCUACGGCUCCUCUCUCAUUUUUUUUUUCAAUGGCAAGAUGAGAGAGGUAAAUGUGUUUAUAGGUGAGAGAGAUAUGGCAAGCCGGGAUAUGCUGGCUCUAUCUACUAAUCACAUGACAGUUAGAUUAAGAAAAAAGAGUGGACUCGUGGUGAGCAAAUAUCACGAGGGCCGAUAGGUUUGGAUGGCUUGGUGGCUUUAGAGGAAGGAUGAAGCGGUGGGACCCAUAGGUGAAGAGACACGUGAUUUUUGUGAUAAUUAUGCUCUCAUAUCAAUGUAGACUAAGUCCCAUGGAUAAAUGUGAUAGAAUGUGUGAUGCGUAAGUUUAAAAAAUCUCGUUUGCUUGAUACCUCCUCAUGACUUUUCAUUGAUUUUUUAUUUUUUGAAAAAACUACAACGAAGCAAAUGCCAGCCUGCAUCACAUUUUAUACAAAGUAGCCAAGGUCACAUACAAGAUUUUUAUGGGAUGAGUGGAAUAUGCAACAGGUAAAAAAGAAAUUACAAUACUCACGGGAGGUGAGACAACAUGAAAGGCCAAUUCGUUAACAAGAGUUUUAGAAACUGAGAGUUACAUCUGGAGACCCAAAGGAAGACUUUGUUUGCGCAUCGUUGAACCUUAAUGUGGAGGCCAUCGACGUCUUUGUUGAAGAUCAUAACGUUUUUCCUUUCCAAAAGUUCCGGAUAAAAGAGAUAAUGAUCGUGGAUUGCACCUUGUCAUGCCCCCCUGAGAGCCUCACAGGUCAGGCACAACUUCCCGUACAUGGGACACGGUUUCUGUUAGAUCAGAGGAGGGGCAUUUGUUUGAGGAGGAAAGCCCUCUAUGGGAUCGUCUGUCAUUGAUGAAGAACCUGUUCUUAUGAAUUAACCACGAAAAACUGUAGAAAAAUGUAGUAAUGGCUAAUGGUAAAAUUCUUCCAAGCAGGAUUGGAUCAUCCGUCUUUGGAAAGCCCCCGCCUAAUUCAUUGAUUCGGUGAAAAUAGGCUUUCCAUCCAAUUGAUUUAGUGGCGUGAGUCUAGAGCGUGCAAAUUCAAUUUAACUCAAAUAAUAUGGUCUUGCAAGAUGCCGAGUUAGAUUUCUCAAAUGUCGGACAAAUUUGUACUGACUUCGUACUAAAUCCCUGGCUACUUUAUUAUGAAUCGAAGUAGCAUUUGUUGCGUCUACUCGAACAAAUGCUACAGUAAUAAGGAUAGUGGUGCUACUGCUAUGACUGGAUUACACGGAACCAGUUUGACACGCCAUUAAAUCGUAGCAAUGGUCGGGUCAGAAAUAUGCAUGUCAGGGCAAAGUUUAUCGAGAAAGACAACAAAGAGUCAAAAAAGAGAAAAAGAGAAGAAGAUGAAAAGAGCCACGUGAUCUUUCGGUCCUGUCUCUUCCGAAGACCCUGUCGCUGACCAAGACCCUGCCGCUGACCAGCAUACCCAAACCAAAACAGGGGAAUUCCUUCGGUCUCCGCGCCCUGCCCGGCCAUGGCCGCAGUUGCCAUUCUCGGCCGCCCCGCUGUCACCGCCAACCCAACAGCUCCAGCUGCCCCCUCACAUGGCUCUGCAAAACUCUUUCUUCGCCUACAAGGCAUCGCUUCUCCGGUUCUCCCUCUGCAAAGCAAAAUCCCAACCCGGCCGCAGCUUCUCAUCCAUCACCACUUGUUCCGAGCUAGCUAGAAUCCAGGAGGACCAGGGCUCUCUGCCAUGGCUGGAGGCCGUCCACCGAAGCCGUCCCUCGCCGACGCAGAAUCUCCGGGCGCGGACGCCGAGGCGCGGGCUCCCCGGAGGCCGCAGCAGCGCGGGCGGCCCGCGUCCGAGCUCUACGCGGAGCUGGCCGCGCUGCUCCCCGGCAUCCCCUCUCGGGUACGCACGCUCGUCCUCUGUUCUUCACUUCUUCUUCCCCUGCUCUCUGCCCGACCUCCUUGUUUCUCGGCAAUGGCGAAUUUGGUCCGAUUGAUUCGGCGUGUGCGUGCAGGCGAGCAAGGUGGAGGUGCUGGAGGCGGCGUUGGCGCAGGUGAAGGUGCUGGAGGACACGGCGGCGGUGCUCGAGGCCUACAGGGCGCUGCGCUCUGAGUCUGACCCCGCGCCGCGCCCACGCGCCGAGGUGGCGUCCCGGGACGCGGUCUGCUUCGCCGUGCGGCUGCCUCCUGCUCCGGCUCCGGCGGGCGGCGGAGGCGGAGGCGGGCUGAGGCGCGUGCUGGAGGCGUUCGAGGGGCGCGGGGUGGAGGUCCUGGCGGCCACCGUCACGGGAGGGCAGCAGGUCAUCACGGUCACCGCGGACGCCGCGCCGCCGGAGGUCGUGGAGGGCAUCAAGGCGGACAUCGCCGGCAUCGAGUGGCUGCCCUGAUCCGUGGAUGCUCGAUUCGAUUCUGAGCUACCACUAACCUUUUUGCGGUCUCUUUAGAAUUACAUUCCGUCCGUCGUCUAAUCCAUUGACGAUGGAGUAGAAUUAGAUAGGCGGAUGAUCAACAAAAGCUAUGGAAAGUGUUGAAUCACUCAGAGUCAUUUUCAUUUUUAUUCUUCUGAUUCAGCAGUCCAUGUUUGAUCUUCUGUUUCGAUUGCACCGCAACUGAAACAUAAAAAGGAGAGGCAACGCAACGAACAAAAAUAGAGCGUGCAUGUUUCUGGAAUUUUCAUUUUUCUGAAUCAGCUGAAAACGGUAGCGUGUGCUCCGUAAUCCAAAAAAUAGAUCUCCAUGAAAACAUUUGGUUGCCUUUCCAACUGUACAAAGGCACUGUAGUUCAUAAUCAUUUUUUCUUCGUCCAGCAUAAUUUCUAAUUUCACUCCCUUCUAGACUUUGAAAACGUAUCCAAGAUCAUUUAAUCACCAAUAAUUUACUAUCAAAAAGGUGCACACAAUGGUGUAGUAUCCGGAUGGAGUUUAAUAGAAUGCACUAGUUUUAACACACAAUGUAUGGAUAAUUAACAUAUAGCUAGAGCAAAACAUUUCAUGUCAUCCCAGCAACAUCAAGCACUAGACUUGCAUAAUUCUUGAAAUGAAGCAGCCUGAGACAUGCGUACGAACAGUUUGUACGAAGUAAGAGCUAGCUAGUCACAUCUACUACCAAUACUCACACCAGAUUAACAUUUUAGAUUAUCAACAAAACAAGAAAAACAGUUUGCAUAGACAUUUUCACAUCAAAACAGCAGCGACCAUGCAACCACAAUGCUCAUCUUGCAAAACCCCACAUCAAAGAUGCCAUGGCUCUCACCAGAUCUUGCCGGGACAAAGGUGACCUCUUUGCAAACGCUGCUGGCCUCAUCGUCGCCGCUUUGCCUUGCCUGAACACCGACGAUCAGCUUCCCAUGGCCAUCACGUCCUUCUACGAAUACAACAUCACGUGAAAACUCAACAAGCCCAUCAUCCGAGACAGACACCAUUCCGUCCCUAGAGUCGAGUAGCGUGACGUUCUCGUCGAUACUGGCUGUACGAGCGACGAACUUCCCAUAGAAAUCAGUCAACCCUUCAGAAAUCCAGACUUUUAUUGCCGCCUCCAGUGCCAUUUGGAGAUGUGCAUACCUGAACUCCAGCGUGCAGCACAGAUCUGGGGCCAUGUCCUUCAGGAGAGAGCCGGCUUUACCCCUCUGACUGAUGCAGUUAUAAUCAAAGAUUUGAGCGCUCAACACCUUAUCUUCAGAGGGCCUUGUCCCCUUCACUCUUAGCUCAAUCUCGAUAGCGACGGGAUCAUACAAUAGGAUUGCACGGCAUGGGCCUGUAAGGACCAGAGAUGAAUGCUGCAAACAACCAUUACAUGAUUUGCGACAGGAAUAUUUGAUAUAAGAUAUACCAUCUACCACUUAUCUAACUGCCACUGUUGAAGGAGGGCAAGUCUUCCACAGCGGCAUUUAGAUAUAUCUUAUAAGGGUACACUUUAGAUAUGAAGACUUUAGUUUAACUUUUGGAAAACAGUGUGUUCUGUCAAAGUGCCAAAUAAUAUUACAAUAAUGGUGCAGUGUGUUCUAUCAAAGAGCCACAUUUUCAAAUGUGUGAUCUAGCAAAUCCAAAGAUUUAGAGUUUGACAGACAAAAUGGUACAAAUUUAGUGUCUUUGGGUAGCCAAGUUCCUAAAUUGUAAUACAACACACCUUUUUAGAUGUCCUUGCAUGGUGGCAAUUGACUAUCGAAUCCACACUUGAUAUGCCAGCAUGGUCUCCUUUUUAUAUAUAUCAAGUUAUCAACACUCUAGUUUAAUUUUUGGUAAACGAAUUGUUGAUCACCUUAGAAUGUUGGAAGAAACUUAAUGCUAUAAGAAUUUUAGGGACUUUAACACACAAAACUGUUCAGACUUCAGAGUAUCACAUGGACAUCCAAUUCAGCUAACCUAAAUAGUUCCAAGAAUUGAUAACAUUGAAUGUAAAAUUACAAUUUUGUGGAGCACUCACACAGACACACACAGGAAAACAAAAUGCAAAAUUCAGUGACACUGAAGGGAAAACAAUAGAGGGGGAGUGCCUGAAGAGAGGAGGUACCUCUGCAGUGAGCGUCUGGCAAUCUUCUCUCGUGCGCUCAAAGAUAUAAUUGCGGUUCUGGUACAACGAGUCACGCAUGGCGAUGAAGCCAAACACAUCUAUCGGCCAGCAGCACAUUGUACCCUUCAGCUCCAGCACACCGACGGAGAAAAUCUGUAGCGCGUCUAGGAGCUUGGCGUAGCUCGGCGCAGGCUCCUGACUGAACCUCAUGGGUGGCGCCUCAACUGCAACCAUAAAAAUCAAAUUUAUAGUUGCGGUAUCCAAAUUCCUAAUUUCCAGGGACUUUUCAACCGGAACAAGAAUCUGUGAGGGGUAACACAAAAGCUAAAAACUUGAUGCAAAAUUGUCGUUUUUUUUUGGGUGAAAUCGUCUGGCUCGCGCUUAGCAAAAUGUAAAACUUAAAGGGAUAAUCGAAGAUCAUGGAUGAGAAUACGAACUUCUUUUCUCGACAUCGCCGAAAUACUCGGACCAUGCCCGUGUCCAGUCGUGGCGAAAGUUGGCGAGCCGGCGGAGCAUCCAUUCCUCCUCUGCUUCGUCCUCGCGGGACCUCUUGGGCUCCUCGUUCACCUCCUCCUGCUCCGCCGCCAACCUCGUGUGACCCGUAACCGUCUCCAUACCCGCCGUAUCCACCACCCUCCCGAUUCCUCCCGCGGUCUCCGGCAUCUUCUGCCGCUGCCGCCGCCCCGCUGAGACUUAGGGUUGGGCACCCACCGUUCUCGUGAGGAUUUUUUCCCCCUUCAACAAUUCUUUCGACAGCUUUUUUUUCCCUUUAAUUAAGUGAAAGAUAAGACAGGUGUUCUCUUUGUUUUGUACCCGAUAAAAUUUCAAAUUCAUCUGUUUCAAUUUAAAUUUUUAAAAAUGAGAAUGAGGGGAGGAAACAGAAAAUAGAACUCCCGUGAGUUUCCGACCCAAUAUAUGGGUUUCUAGGCGGGUUAUUGAAAACUUAGGGCAUUAGCAAUAGUAGAGUAAAUAUUGAUUUUUCAUUCCAUCUAGAGUCGACAACUAAAUGACACAUACAAUAGAUUGUGUUUUUAUAUUUACUAUAAAUAAUUUGUUAACACUAAAUGCAACGAUUACAAUGGUAAAUAGGUUAAUUCUUAACUGAUUCUUAGUCGAUUUUUCUUUAAGGUCAGUUCUCUUUGCUUUCAUAUUUCUCUUUCCUCUACAUCACCAAAUUUCAAAUAAUAGUCGUUUAAGAGUGAACUUUUGCGGAUGUCCUUAUCAACUAACUAUUUCUCCUAGGAGAGCUCCUCUUUUUGAAUAAUUUUAGUCAUAAUAAUUUUUUUAAUGUUCAUGUGGGCUAAAUAAUGUAGAGACAAUUUUCUCUACCCCAUGUUUAUAUAGCCUGAAAACGCACGAAGAAAAUCUCGGAAGAAAAGAAUUUAUCCCCAUCUUUGUUACAAUACCGUAAAUUUCGUAAACUGAAAAAUAAACUUCUCCGUAUCUGUUACAUUGUUCACACCUUGAUUCUUGUAAUAUUGAUUUCAUUAAUAAAAUCUGGAGCGUGCGUUCCUUAAUCCAAAGAAUAUAAUUAUAUGAAAACAUUUGGUUGGCCUCUAACGGAACAAAGGUACUCCAGUUGUGUUGUCUGAACUUCUCAACAACUUCAAAACAAGUCAACAUAUUUAUAGUACAUAAUUCGAAAUUAUCUAGAAAUUAUGUAUAGUUCAGAGACACAAGCUUUACACUUGGAAGUUGUGGAAUUCAAAAUUUAUUUUUAAACCAUCUUCUGAGAAUUUGAAGUACCAUAGUUCUGAACCAAUAUUCAUAAAUUCAAAAUGUACAAGUUCUAAGCAAAGUGGUAACCUGUCAACAAACAUUUCACAAUCAUCUUUUUUUCGUGCAGCAUAAUUUCUACUUCACUCCCUUCUAGACUUUCAAACGUAUUUACUUAUUAUCCAAAUCAUUUAAUCGUCAACAAUUUACUUGGCAAAAACGUGCAGACAAUGGUACUAUCCGGAUGAUUGAGUUUAAUAGGAUGCAUAAUUUUAACACAUAAUGUAUACAUAUUUAACAUAUCCAACGAAGAGCAGAACAUUUCGAGCCAUCCCAGCAACAGAAAGCACUAGACUUGCUUAAUCCUUGUAUUGAAGCACUUGAGACAUCCGGUGUCAAAAUAAAUAAAUACAGUUGAGACAUGCCUAGGUGCAACUGUUAGUACGAAGUAAGAGCUAGCUAGUCACAUCUACUACCAAUACUAACACCAAAUUAAUAUUUUAUAUUAUCGAAAAAACAAGGAAAAUCAGUUUGCAUAGACCUUUUCACAUCAAACCAGCAGCGACCAUGCGACCACAACUCUGACUCUCACCAGAUGUUGCCGGGACAAAGGUGAUCACCUCAUUGCAAACGCUGCUGGCCUCAUCAUCACCACUUGGCCUUGCCUGAACACCGACGAUCAGCUCUCCACGACCAUCACAUCCUUUUACGAAUACAACACUGCGUGAAAACUCAAAGAGCCCAUCAUCUGAGACAGACACCAUUCUGUCCCUAGAGUCGAGCAGCACGACGUUCUCGUUGAUACUGGCUGUACGAGCGACGAAGUUCCCAUAGAAAUCAGUUGACCCUUCAGAGAUCCAGAUGUUAAUUGCCGCCUCCAGUGCCAUUUGGAGAUGUGCAAACCUGAACACCAGCGUGCAGCGCAGAUCUGGGGACAUGUCCUUCAGGAGAGAGCCGGCUUUGCCUCUCCGAGAGAUGCAGUUAUAAUCAAAGAUUUGAGCGCUCAACACCUUAUCUUCAGAGGGCCUUGUCCCCUUCACUCUUAGCUCAAUCUCGAUUGCGACAGGGUCAUGCAAUAGGAUUGCACGGCAUGGGCCAGUAAGGACAAGAGAUGAAUGCUGCAAAAGACCAACAUGAUUUGAGACAGGAAUAUUACAUACUCCCUCCUAUUAAUAAUAAGUGUCGCCCACUUAGUACAAAUUCUGUACUAACUUAGUACAGAUUGGAUGACACUUAUUAUGGAUCGGAUGGAGUAUAAGAUAUACCAUCUGCCACUUAUCUAACUGCUAUAAGGCACGGAACUAUCAAAUGAUGGCAAGUCUUCCACAGUUUGUUGGAUAAGAAGAAUGCACCACACUUGACAAUGGAUCUAAAGUUGUAGCCUUGCUAAAUACGCGAUCAUGGUUGAGGAGGUGGGUGCUAGAAAUCAGGGGCGCUUUGGCCAGAUCGGCCAAAGAAACGAGACCCUGGCUUACUUUUUGGAACUCGCAAAAAAAAAUGUAGGAGGAAAAAAUGUGCGCCUUCCUUUUUGGAAUUAGGAUAUUCAAUGCGCGCACAUUGAAAUUUGGGAGGGCAUGAAUACUAGGGUGGUUUAGAGCCUUGGAGGUGUCUCUCGACUAGAACAAAGCUACUGAGAUGCAGAAUGAUCAAAUGAAGAGGGACAAAGCGAGUGAAAGAAUAAGGUUGGAUGAAGAAAGAUAGAUGCUAGAAAAAGAAAGAAUAGAAUCAAUGCAAACGAGUAGAGAGAGGGUUAAGUAGAGAGGUAUAUCAGUUUUCACACAUCAAAUCGCAACGUGAGAGCACCAUGCUUAAUUUUGCACGUGUUCAUGAAGUAGAAUCACCGACCAAUGCAUUUGAAAGUCUUUUCUUUUGUUCCUAGCAACGCACGGGCAUCCUACUGGCUAUUAGUCAGUCUAACAUAGCAGUUGGCUGCAAGUUAAAGCGAAGGAGUAAAGUUUCAUGGUGUUUUCUCUUCUACCCGGUCCACCCAACCAAUUUUACCUGCCUGAUCCAAUUCUCAAUCCGUCUCGACUUCGACUUGAUCAAAACCAUACGUAUAUCUACUGUUUUGGUUGUCCUUUCUUCGUUCCAUAAUUCUUAUCUCGAAUUUGUCUAAAAAUGAAUGUAUUUAUUCGUAAAAAGCGACUUGUUUCCGGUCAAGUUCGGUGGACAGGGAAUUGAUCGGGCAGGUAAGCGGUUCAGAUCAAGUCGAGUGGACUUGAAAGAGGAUUGAGCCGGUAUGCUGUCCGGGAAAAUCUGAUACUCACUCCGUGUAGAAAAGGAUGUCGCGCCGGUUAUUUUGCAAAAGAAAGCUCGGAGAAUUCCAGAACUAACAGGCAGUCCUCCCGCUCUCUUCUUCCUUGCCGCACGCCGCCGCCGCUCCCCUCUGCCGUAUAGGUCCGAAGGCGAGCUGCCCUCGACACUCCCCCUCCGCCGUCUAGCUCCACCGGGCUUCUCCCGUUCCGCCGUCCAGCUCCCCCGGGCUGCUCCCCCUCCGCCGUCCAAAGAUUUGGUUUUUCUUGGAAUGGGGAUGAGGGAGGCGAGAGCUGGUGCUGCAGCGCGAGAUAUGGUGCUUCCCAGCGCGCCGACUCCCUCCGCCCCGCAACUGCUGCGGCCGAGGCUGAUGACAUGCUGUUGUGGUGCUGAUGGCAACCUCUAAACAAUGGUCAUGCUCCCUCCUUGCAGCAUAGGUAAAGAAAGACAAGCCUCCCUGUUUCUCAAUUUUUGAAUCUCUGAUGUUUUGCAAGUGUUUUCUGAAUUUCUGAAUAUUGGUGCUGUAGUUUAAUAUUGCUGCUAUAAUUGCUGAACUUCUGAAUAUUGGAGCUGAACUUGCAGAACUUGUAUUUUUUCAGAUGCUGGACGGAGGGACCGAGGGAGUAGCUUCAUAUUGGUGCUAUAAUUGCUAAAUAUUGCAGGGAAACCGUCCUUGAUCUGUUGCAAUCCGAAGCUGAAAAUUCAGCAUGACAUGCAUGUCAAAGACAAUAAUUUGUAAAGUGUGGCCUAUUCUGUACUCAAGGGUGACAGUUUGUAUGGUUAUUUUACUCAACUAUUUUACUGCAGAAUUAGAGCAACAUAUAAUGUUGUUCCACAGAUGUUUAUACUCAGUAGGUACUGAUAUUUCCAUCACCAUCCAAACAGAACAUCAAGUUAUACUCAGUAACCUUCAGAACACCUGAGCAAUACAAUACAUUGAAAUUCUUUCAAUUAACUGUUAACUGAAACUCAACUGUGAACUAAUAACUGAAACUCAGCAAGCAAAUUCAACUUUGAACUGUUGACUGAAAUUUUUUCACAACAAAAUAGUGUUUGGUUACAUUAGAACUAUUAACUGAAAUAAUUUCAGAAUUUGUUUGACUUCAAGUCUUCAGAAUUUGAUUGAAAUAAGUACAGUACAGUACAGUACUCCAGGUGAGUAAGUGACCUGAGCUGAUUGUUAUCUUGCUAACUGUGGUUUCUGAACUGAAUAGAUGACCGAAUCUUGUUUCUGAACUGAAUAGAUGACCUGCCUGAGCUGAUUGUUAUCUUGCUAAGGUCUGAAUCUUGUUGCUUCUGAGUAUGAACUGCAGGUGCUCUGAAGAUUAUGAACUGCACUGUAUUGUUGGUUUCAGUUCAGGAGCAGAAGAUUAUGAACUGCAGGUGCUGCUGUCUAACUCCUGUCUUGGUGCUAAUCUCUGAAUCUUAUUGCUGCUGAGUAUGAGGAACACAAUUCAUGUAUUCUCCUCGUGAUCUCUAGGUCAAAACACUACCUGGAUUGCAGGUGUUCUUCUAGUUAGGACCUAACUGAGCACAAUUCUCAUUGGUCAAAUUGCAGGUGUUCUUCUUGAGCAAUCUGUCUACGGUAAGUUGUUCGGCAGCAGAGAAGUACCAAAACAAUCAAUCAAGUUUUUAUUUCAGCCGGACCAUCGAUCCGGCGCGCAGGCCUCGGCGACGACCUCCUUCCUCGCUGGCAGAUGGCGAGGGAGCUGCGGAGGCGGGGGAGACUGACGGCGCUAGCAAACUGGCCGGCCGGCCGCCCGCCAGGUACUCCGCGUCCGCGAGCUCCUCUGCGUCCGCGAUGCAGGCGAUCGCGAGCUCCUGCGCGCCCGCGAGAUUGGACUGCAUGCGCGAGGCCCGCGGCGCGAGAUUGGAUCGCAGCAGGACGACGACGGAGGGCACCGCGACGACAACGGAGGGUAGCACGACGGGAAGAUUUGAAUUUUGAUUUCAGAUUGAAUUUCAAUUUGAAGCCCAAAUUUCAAAUGUUCCGGAUGUUUAGGUUUUUUUCUUUAGCAAAAUUAAAUUGAACUGCAGGGGAGGAAGGAUGCGACAUCCUUUUACGAACAGAGGGAGUAGAAGAGAAAACCGAAACACCUCUCUAACGCUCGUCCGCGGCGCGCAGACGAAAAGCCGACCACGCGCGCUCUCCUUUCCUUUUUUCUUUCUGCGCCGUUUCCUUUUCUGUCUCAGCCUUCCGUUGCCAAUUAGCUCCAAAAUAUCUCCCUCCCCAGGCAGUCUCUUCCCUCUGUUAUGAAAUAUUAGUGUGGAUGUCCAUAACCCAUAUACCAUCAAAGACAUAACCUUCUAAUUCAAUGGAGUAACUCUCAUAGUAUCAAUUCUUGUAACUCCAUCUCACAUGUAUGACUAUGUAUAUGAGAGCUUAUGUAUUGGAAUGAGAUAUAAGAAAUUCCAAUUUCAUCUCUCACUCUCUCCAUUCUAUACAUUCCUUUACAUUACAAGUAGUUAUUUUAUAACACGUUAUCAACACGACUGUCUCUAAAGCUAUCAAGACCUAGGUAAGAAACUUUACAUUGAUCAUAAUGUUAUUUUUGUGGUAAGACAUUAUCAUUUGUAUUUGUUUCUAUAUUUUGUUCUUGCACGAUUGUUUGAAUUUUGCAAUCUAUAUAUUUGGUAGUUUACCAUGUUGAAUCUUGCCAAGAUUGAUUUCAUGACUCUGGAUAUUGCGGGCAAGAAUUACUUGUCAUGGGUGCUAGAUGCUGAAACUCACCUGAGUGCCCAUGGGCUUGGUGAUGCGAUCAAAGAAAAAAAUAAUGCAUCUAGCCAAGAUAAAGCUAAGGCUUUGAUUUUCAUUAUUCGCCACCUCCAUGAAGGUCUAAAGGCCGAAUACCUUAUUGAUAAGGAUCCCCUUGUUCUUAGGAACAAACUAAAAGAAAGAUUUGAUCAUCAUAAAUCAAUUAUCCUCCCUAAAGCGAUGAGCUUUUGAUGAAAAAUCAUGAGUCACGUCCAAGUGGUUCCAGUCCAUUUCCUGAAUCGAAUGCGACAAAAUAUGAUUACCAAAAUAGAGGACAUGGUCGUGGUCGUGGUCGUGGCUAUGAAUAUGGACGAGGUUGCGGGAGAGGAAAUUAUAGUGUUCGCUUCAAGAACACAGCUAGACCUCAUGAAAUACAAGAAAGGGGAGAUAAAUAUGAAGGCGAAAUUGAUGAAACAAAAAAUGCAUGCCAUCGCUGUGGUGGAAUAUCCCAUUGGGCACGUAACUGCCGUACACCAAAGUACCUUGUUGAUCUCUAUCAACAAUCAAUUGAGAAGAAAGGGAAACAUAUAGAGACAAAUUUUGCAAAUAGCAAUGAUGAUGUUCCUGGCAUGGCAGAUAAUGGAGAACAUGGCAACAAUGAUGCUGCCCACUUGGAUGUUUCUGAUUUCUUCAUUCAAGAAUAAUUUAUAUUUGUAACCUCCUAUUCCAUAUAAGAAUAAAUAUGUCUUAAUUAGAAUAAGAGUUAAGUAUGUUGUAACUUCUUUUGCUACAAAAUAAAUCCAUAUCUUUGUGUUUAGUACUACUGCAUUUAACUGUUUGGUAUUUAAUAAAUUUAUUCUAAUAAACUAGUAUUUAUUGGUACAUGUUUCUUUUGAAGUAUAUAUGGAAAAUUCUUUGGCUCAAGAUCUUCUGAAGGAAGAAGAGAUAUGCCUUAUAGACAGUGCAACAACACAUACCAUAUUGAAGAGUAAAAUGCAUUUUUCCUAUCAUACAUUACAAGAUGCAGUUGUUCAUACUAUAUCUGGAAGUGCUAAAUUGGUAGAGGGCUCUGGAAGAGCCACAAAUGUUACCUUGUGGGACAAAGGUAGACAUAAACGAAGCACUUUAUUCCCCAAAGUCUCAUAGAAAUUUGUUGAGCUUUAAAGAUAAACGCCGAAAUGGCUAUCAUAUAGAGACUAUGUGUGAGGAUAGUGUGGAGUACCUCAACAUUACAAAGAUAUCAUCGGGGAAAAAGUAUGUGUUGGAGAAAUUACCAGAAUUAUCUUCUGGUUUAUACUAUACAAGUCUCAAAAAGAAAGUCAUAUAUGGUGGUGGAACCGAAGUUCACCAACCAUAGCAAUUUUAUUACAUGGCAUGACCGGCUAGGCCAUCCCGGAUCAGUAAUGAUGCGAAAAGUUAUUAAUAGUUCAUGCGGCAUAAACUAAAGGAGGAAAAGAUUCUCCAAUCGAAUGACUUUCCAUGCAUCGCAUGCUCUCAAGGGAAAUUGAUUGUGCGCCCAUCACCGGUUAAAAUUGGACAUCAGUCCCUCGCUUUUCUAGAGCACAUACAAGAGAUAUAUGUGGACCAAUUCAUCCACCAAGUGGACCAUUUAGAUACUUUAUGGUUUUAAUUGAUGCAUCAACUAGAUGGCCACACGUCUCCUUACUAUCAACUCGCAAUCUAGUGUUUGCGCGACUGUUGGCUCAAAUAAUCAAGUUAAGAUCUCAGUUUCCAGAUAAUCCGAUCAAAGCUAUACGCUUGGAUAAUGCCGGUGAAUUUACAUCAAAUAGUUUCAGUGAAUAUUGCAUGUCGAUUGGAAUAAGUGUUGAACAUCCGGUUGCACAUGUUCAUACAUAGAAUGGUCUUGCAGAAUCAUUUAUUAAACGUCUUCAAUUAAUAGGACCAUUACUUAUGAAGUCAAAACUCCCAAUUUCUUCUUGGAGACAUGCUAUUUUGCAUGCAGCGGCAUUAAUUCGCAUCAGGCCAACAAGUUACCAUAGUUCUUCCCCUCUACAAUUGGUUUUUCGCAAAGAGCACGAUAUUUUCCAUCUAAGAAUUUUUGGACGUGCGGUGUAUGUCCUCCCAAUUGCUCCACCAAAGCGCACAAAGAUGGGACCCCAAAGAAGGUUGGGAAUAUAUGUGGGAUAUGAGUCCCCUUCUAUAAUAAAAUAUCUUGAACCAUCAAGGAGAUGUAUUUACAGCAAGAUUUGCUGUUUGACAUUUUGAUGAGUCAAUUUUCCCAACAACAGGGGGAGGGGAUAAGCAGCUAAAUAAAGAAAUUAGCUGGAAUGAAUUAUCACUAUCUCACUUUGAUCCUCGUACAAACCAAUGUGAGCAAGAAGUUCAAAGGAUAAUUCAAUUACAGAGCUUAGCGAAUAACUUGCCAGACACUUUUACAGACUUAAAAAGAGUGACAAAGUCAUAUAUUCUAGCUGCUAAUGCUCCUGAAAGAAUAGAUGUCCAACAUAGGCAAGCAUCUACCGCAAAUGAAUCAAAACCUACUAUGAAACGAGGUAGACCAUUGGGUUCCAAAGAUAAAAAUCCUCAAAAGCGAAAGGGAGCAAAGAAUCAAGAUGGUCAAAUCGAGGAAAUGAUAAUUCAGGAAAAAUCUCCUGAAGGAAAUGAUGACAUGACUCAAGAGAUCAUUUAAUCACCAAUAAUUUACUUGCAAAAAGGUGCACACAAUGGUGUAGUAUCCGGAUGGAGUUUAAUAGAAUGCACUAGUUUUAACACACAAUGUAUGGAUAAUUAACAUAUAGCUAGAGCAAAACAUUUCAUGUCAUCCCAGCAACAUCAAGCACUAGACUUGCAUAAUUCUUGAAAUGAAGCAGCCUGAGACAUGCGUACGAACAGUUUGUACGAAGUAAGAGCUAGCUAGUCACAUCUACUACCAAUACUCACACCAGAUUAACAUUUUAAUUAUCAACAAAACAAGAAAAACAGUUUGCAUAGACAUUUUCACAUCAAAACAGCAGCGACCAUGCAACCACAAUGCUCAUCUUGCAAAACCCCACAUCAAAGAUGCCAUGGCUCUCACCAGAUCUUGCCGGGACAAAGGUGACCUCUUUGCAAACGCUGCUGGCCUCAUCGUCGCCGCUUUGCCUUGCCUGAACACCGACGAUCAGCUUCCCAUGGCCAUCACGUCCUUCUACGAAUACAACAUCACGUGAAAACUCAACAAGCCCAUCAUCCGAGACAGACACCAUUCCGUCCCUAGAGUCGAGUAGCGUGACGUUCUCGUCGAUACUGGCUGUACGAGCGACGAACUUCCCAUAGAAAUCAGUCAACCCUUCAGAAAUCCAGACUUUUAUUGCCGCCUCCAGUGCCAUUUGGAGAUGUGCAUACCUGAACUCCAGCGUGCAGCGCAGGUCUGGAGCCAUGUCCUUCAGGAGAGAGCCGGCUUUACCUAUCCAAGUGAUGCAGUUAUACUCAAAGAUUUGCGCGCUCAACACCUUAUCUUCAGAGGGCCUUGUCCCCUUCACUCUUAGCUCAACCUCGAUUGCGAUAGGGUCAUCCAAUAGGAUUGCACGGCAUGGGCCAGUGAGGACCAGAGAUGAAUGCUGCAAACAAACAUUACAUGAUCGAGACAGGAAUAUUAGAUAUAUGAUAUACCAUCUGCAACUUAUCUAACUGCCACUGUAAGAGGUCGGCGAGUCUUCCACAGUUUGUUGGAUGAGAAUGUAGCACAGCACACUUGGCAAUGAAAAAUUAGGCAUAUCUAAAGUUGCAGCUUUGCCAAAUACACGAUCCAAACUGUCAAUUAGGCCAAAUCACAUCGCACCUACUAUUAUAAUGAUAAUAUCCGGCCUAGGAGAACAUGUAAAAUGUCAGUUGUUCACUUAUUGGUGCAGUCCGAUAACAUGCCCCUACAAUAUUUUGACAACUGCACACGUUCUGUUGGUGAAAUUAAAUAUGUUCUACAAAAAAAAUGGGUUAAACAUUUUUGACAAUAGUUUAAAAUGUGCAAUCCAUGCUACAUUGCCACACAUUACAAGAUCAGCAACAAAUAGGUCUUGCUACACUUACAGCCAUGAAACCAAGCACAAGAUCAUGCACCUCUUGACUCAGAAUUCAACCUUGAAUAUUAUCCAGAUUAACACUUGAAUUAUUAUCCGAAAGCACAGUAGAAUUGAGUCUAGGGCAUACAGCGUGUUUUUGAUAUGUCCAGCAUAUGUACUACUGGACCUGAUGCAUGCUAUGGCACGAUGCUGUGAUUUUUAUGCCUUCUUUGUACACGCAAUGGCAAAACAGACCCUCUCCCUCCCUUCCCUUUCCCUCUCUCCUUCCAAGCCAAAUUAAGGGUGCAGCGUGUUCCAUCAAAGUGCCACAUUUUGUAGUGUGUGAUCUAGCAAUCCAAAGAUUUAGAGUUUGAUAGACAAAAUGGUACAAAUUCAGAGUCUUGGUAGCCAAGUUCCUAAAUUGUAAAACAAAAAAGCUUUUUACAUAUCCUUGCAUGGUGACAAUUGACUAUCGAAUCCACACUUGAUAUGCCAGCAUGAUCACUUCAUAUAUAUAACCACUCUUUAGUUUAAGUUUUGGUCCUAUCAUUUCAAAUACUCCCUCUGUCCAGAAAAGGAUGUCGCGCGGUCAAAUUUGCAAAAACCCCCUUGAGAAAUUCCCGACAUAACGUUCAGUCCUCGCACGCUCAUCUUCCUCCUCGCGGGUUCUUCCUCGCAGUGCUCGCACGCCGCAGAUCCCCGGCGAUGCUCCCCUCGCCCGACGGAUAGCUCGUCCUCGCUACUCCCCCUUCGCCGUCUAGCUCCACCGGGCUGCUCCCCCUCCUCUGUCCAAGAUUUGAUUUUUCCGACGAUGGGCUGGUGCUGCGGUGCGAGCAGAGCAGAGGGAGAGGCCGGGAAGAUUGCACCGCCUCCGCUGUUCCUCGUCCCGCUGUUGGCCGCCGGCCGCGCCGACGCAUGGGGUACGGAGGGCCACAUCAUGGUCUGCAAGAUCGCCGAGGUAACAACAACCCCUUCGAUUUUGAUGCAAGGUUAGAAGCCAAAUUGGAGCUAUUCCUGUUAUUUUAUUGCAGCUUAUUUGUUGUUUAUUCUCCUUUAUCCUUCUGCAAGGUUGGACAUUUCCAUCCAAACUAUGUUCUCAAAGAAAGAAGAAGGAAAAGUUCAUGUCUUGUCUGUAAUCGAUGAUGGCCGUGGAAUGACUUAUACUGAAAUGUUGAGAAUGAUCUCAUUCUCAUCAUUUAAGGUAAAUACCUAUUGUACUCAUAAAUUGUCCUUUGUCUUUGUACACAUUCCUGAUUGGACUGAAUGUUUAUUGAGCUGAUAAUCAGUUUGCACUGAAUGUUUAUUGGGCAAAAACAUAUUUUGCUUUUUAUUUUAGUGCAGGAGAAAUUUGCUGAUUUGUUAUCCAUUAAUUGUUAACUGAACAUACUUGCUUUUAAAGGUUACAUAUGGCCUUAUUCCAUAACAUGAUCUGUUAUUUUGCUUUAGAAAAGAAAGUAAGGCAAAUAAAACUGAAGCAUUUAUAAUUUGAAGGCCUACAUGUCUGUUACACAUGAACAUAUAAAAAAUCGAAAGAUUGUUCAAUUCUUGAAAGGACUGAUUGCAACAAAAUUUGAAAUAACAGUACAGUAGCUCAUUGGCCUGUGUGAUCAAGGACACAUGGCCUGUGUAUCUCAUUAACUUUGGCUUCUGAAACUUGUUUUAUUCUAGCUCAAAAUUUCCCUUGCCAUCCAACUUCUGCCCUUGGUUUAUUGUAAUCUCUGUGCCAUGCCAUGUUUUGAUUCAGUUCUGGUUCAGGUACAUGAAAGGGAUAUACUCUGCAGUUUGAGGUUCAGGUUCAGAUGUUUUGAUUCAGUUGAAGUUCUUGACAAAUGCCACUACUCCUCGGAGCCUUGGCCCUUCUUCUGUCAUUCUCAAGUAUUCUGCACUUUCCUUCUUCAGUUUCCAUUCUAUAGUGUAUGACUGAAUUUCUAUCGACUAGCUUCAAUAAUUUGAUUUAUAGGAUUGAAUUUCUAUCGACUACAAUCUCAUUUUGCAUUUUGACACUUUGGUUUAACAUUCAUGUGAUUAAGACACCAUACAAUGGAAAUAUUAACAAUGAUGGAGCAAUAGUAAUUUCAAACUUGGGAAAAAAUUAUGAUGUAAUUGUAGGGCUGAGCUUUUAUUUUCGGUAGAAAUAGAUUGCUACCUUCCUUUUCUAAUCCUCAGAUUACUCCCUUCCUUCUUCUAAUCCUGAGAUUGCUCCUUUCCUUCUUCUAAUUCUGAGAUUGCUCCCUUCCUAAUUCUAAUCCUGAGAUUGCUUCCUUUUUUAAUCCUAAUUCUAAUCUAGGCGGAGGGUGGUGAGGCGGAGGCGCGGGCGCAGGAGGCACUUGAGGCGCUGGCCAAGCCAGGGACGGCCACAGGAGCUUCCUCGCCUAGAGCUCGCCUGGAUCAGCGCUGACGACUUGGAGCAGAGGGACGGCCGCGGGAGCUCCCUGGCCUGGAGCAGAGGCCGCCAACCUGGAGAUGCCGGGGGCGGUGCGGUGGUGGGGCGGCGACCUACUGGCCGGAGCAGGUGGAUGGGCAGUGAGUUGGGGAGGCAGGCAUCCGCGAUGGAUCUCAUGCGCUCCGUGAGAUUGGAUUGCCGGCUCUGGCGGGAGGCCGGCGGGAGCUCCGCCUGCCUUCGGCGACGCGAGGGCAGCGGGCCGGCGGGAGCUCCGCUUGCUUCUGGGUGAAGAUUUCAGUUUGGAUUUCAAUUUGAAUUUCAAUUUCCAGCCCGAAUUUCAAACGAAUUUCAAUUUGAGGGAUCUUUUGGAAAAAUUCAAUUACACUGGAGGGGUGGAAGGAUGCGACAUCCUUUUCUGGACAGAAGGAGUGAUUACUUUCUAUUUUUGUGUUUAGAUAACCACAAAAGCCCUUAAAAGGUUGGAAGAAACUUAAUGCUAUAACAGCUCGUUUGGAUCCCAUCAUUUGGGUUUAGAAUUCUGGAAUUCAUUUGGGAUUUCAGAUUUCAGCUUGUUUGGCUGGCACGGAAUUGCCCUCAGGAAUUCAAUCUCCAAUUCCAUGGAAUCACACUAUAACUAACCCCAAUUCCUCUCUAAAAACCAUCAUUUCUUUGGAAUUGUCUCUCAUCCUACAAAUCCAUGUGGUAGACAAACAUGAUUUUUGAACCCGGAAUUCAAAUUCAACCAAAUGAAAUCCUAUCAAAAUUUGGAUUUUAUUUCAUUUCUGCCAAAUGAAAUGAAAGCAUGGGUGCCAAACGAGCUGUAAGAGUUUUAGCCUUUUAGGGACUUUAGCACACAAAACUAUUCUGCAAAUCUGCAAUUUUUAGUCCACUGCCAAUCUGCAGGACUCUAAUUUUGGCCUGCUCUCUAAUUUAUCUGCAGUACAAGUUGAGAAUUCAGACUAUCACAUGAACAUCCGAUUCACUCUAUCCUAAAUAGUUCCAGGAAUUGACAACUUUGAAUGUAAAAUUACAAUUUCUUAGACCAAUGAGGAGGUACCUCUGCAGUGAGCGUCUGGCAUUCGUCUCUCGUGCGCUCAAAGAUAUAAUUGCGGUUCCGGUGCAACGAGUCACGCGUAGCAAUGAAGCCAAAAACAUCUAUCGGCCAGCACAUUGUACCCUUCAGCUCGAGCACACUGACGGAGAAUAUCUGUAGCGCGUCUUCAAGCUUGGCAUAGCUCGGCACAGGAUCUUGACUGAACCGCAUGGGUGGCGCCUCAGCUGCAUCCAUAAAAAUCAACUCAUAGUUGCGGUAUCCAAAUUUAUAAUAUCUAGGGAGUAUUUAACUUUUGCUUUUGCAUAGUGUCAGACUUAGUCGGAACACGAAUUUGAGAAGGGUAACAAAAACCUACUCCCUCCACGCUCAUUAUGGAUCGGAGGGAGUAAUACACAAAAUUUCUCGAUUACGAAAUUAAAAAUCAUCAGGCUCGGGCUUAGCAAAAUGCAAAACUCAAGGGAUAAUCGAAGAUAAUGGAUGAGAUUACGAACUUCUUUUCUCGACAUCGCCGAAAUGAUCGGACCAUGUCUCUGUCCAGUCUAGGCGAAAGUUGGCAAGCCGGCGGAGCAUCCAUUCCUCUUCUGCUUCGUCCUCGCGGGAUCUCUUGGGCUCCUCGUUCCCCUCCUCCUGCUCUGCCGCCAACCUCUUCUGACCCGUAAUCUUCUCGAUACCUGCCGUAUCCAACAUCCUCCCUAUUCUUCCCGUGGUCUCUCCGCCGCCGCCGCCGCCGCCGCCGCUUGGACUUAAGGUUAGGCACUGUGGGGAUAUUUUCCCUUACAACGCGACGGGCAAACCGGGCCAAGUGCACACGGGUCGUUCAAGGCGACUCAUAGCCCAGUAAUGCUGGCUAUAUAUAAUGCUGCCCAUCCGGCCGGCCCGGGCACAAAAUGGGCCAGGAACGGCCCGAGUCAGCCCGAAAUGCGGCCCGUGUCGACCUGGAAUGGUUUAGUGCUGUGCCGAGCCGACCUACGGGCCUUAGAUGGAGAAAAAGCCCGGUCCGGCCUAGUUUUGUGCCUGGCUCGAGGCCUGAAAGCCCUACGUGCCCGGUUAGACCCGUCCGGGCUGUUUUUUAAAUAAAAAUAAAGUAAAAUGCAUUAGAGGUCUUAAUUUUUUUCUAAAAAUUCUGAGUUAGUCAUAAUUAUUUGAAACUGCACAUCUGAAUCUCAAUUAUUUCAUAAGUGAUUCAGCGCAGGACCUAUGGUGAUUCGGACGCGUGCCUCCUGCUGACGUGGUUAUUAGGACCCACAUGUCAGGUGCAUAGGUGAACAUUUUUUUGCAAAAAACUCCCUGGCUCCUUCUUUUUCUUCCCCAUGCCCCCUCUCCUCGUGGCUAUUUGAGGGCCACAUGUCAGAGAAAGGAAUGAGGCAGAAUUUUUUUGCAAAAAAUUGUCCACCUUGGCAUCUGACAGGUGAAAUAACCACGUCGGCAGGAAACACGCGUCCGAACCACCAUAGUACAUGCAAUGGAUCACUUAUGAAACAAUUGAGACUCAAACGUGCAAUUUCAAAAAAUUAUGACUAACUUAGAACUUUUACGAAAGAAUUAGAACUUUUGAUACAUUUUACUCAUAAAAGGUAGCUCAAUGCGGUGUGCGCGCACCUUCUAGCUCUCCGCGGUGCCCCCUUCUAACAUCCGGACAGGACCGGAUUAGGAAACUCCGUCCACUGCAGCCCUGUGCUUUCCCGCAACUGCUCCCACGGGCUCUUGCGGGCACUGAUUUUCUUUGUCGUUUUGCCGUACGCACAUGAUAUACACGUCCGUGCCCGGCUUUUCUUCCUCCGGUGCUCACAACAUUUCUCAGCAGCAACAAAAUUUACUUCAAUCGAAAAAAUGAACACGUACAUCUCCAAAUUUUGCUACAGCUGGAUUUUUAUUUCACAUAUAAACGUUAGCAUAAAAGCACGGAUUGCACGAGUAAAGAACUAAUUCCACGCGCCUCCUACAUCCAUACAAAACUCUGCAUAGCUCUACAACCCAUCCAGCUUUGUACAUCCACCUGGCUUGAAACCUGGCGAACAAAACAGGUCCCCAAAAUUAGUAACGCUGAGAUAUAGAUUCUGCAGAGAGAAUAACAAAACUUAAUUUACGAUCAUUCUAGAACAUAAUACAGAGUAUUAGGAUUUAGGAUGUAAAAUUCAGAAUCUGGUAUGUCUCAAGUAAGAAGAAUUAUAGUUUACGAUAUAUGCCUUUAUGUAUGAAAAACACUCCGCUGUUGUGCUUGGAACUUUUUUACACUUUAAGUAGCUAACAAUAACUGCACAUGACCCAAACUUGAACUUAACCAAAAAGUUACCCCUUCAACUAAAACCACGACAAAAAUUUAGGAUCGAAAGAAGUACUUCUAACAAUUAAAAAACUACAUCCACCGAAAAUCAUAUAUAUAUUACAUGUAAUAAGCAAGGAGCAAGAAAUGCAUGUUAGCCUUCAGGUAGUUCAAUUAUAACCACAAGCAGAGCAUCGCAGUUCAAUGUCACCGGCCAUGCUUCAAAAGUUAAGUCACAGAAGAAAAAAAAUCAGACUAACUAAAAAAGCUACAUCUCAGUAAGAGAACUAAUCGUGUGCACACAUAAUUACAUCUAUUGACUACACAACUACAUCCAAUCGAAUAACGGAUCACGUAGAAAAAAGUACAACUAAUCCUAGUAGCUUGAAAAGUAACUCCACACACAUUUUUUUUUUCUUUGUCCAAGUUCACAAGUAGAUGUAACUUUUAACGUCACAAUUACAUCUAAAACUAUCAGAAAAGUACUCCCUCCGAUCCACUCGUCACGUUCCUACUUCGUCGGCUUUGUCAUCACUAAUGGCCGACACCACCAACAACGCAACGGCUUUGGCUGCCGCUAACGCUCAGGCUCAGGCUUAGAAGCAUUGGAUCGAACAAUAGGUGGUUGCUGCUGCUCAAAUGCAAGCGCAGGCAGGGGCGGCUGCCCACGCGGUUGCCAAGGCGGCAGCUGCAGCUAGCGUGAACAUCGACGCGGCUCAACAGAUUCAUCAACAAAGAACAACCAAAUCAGGAGAAGGGCAACAUACCGUACGUAAUCUGCUCUUUUUCUUGUUAAUUUUAAUCAGUAGUUAUAUUGUUCAUGUUGUGGAAUUAGAUGAGUUUUAUCGCUGUGCGUUGCUGUUUAGUUUGUUUAGUUCGCAUGAUAUAAUUUGCUACAUGAUUUAUGGCAUGAUUUUCUGAAUUAUAGGUUCAUCGAAAAUGCCUAAUUUUUCAAAAAAAAAAAGCAAUUCGAACCCGACCAAAACUCACCGGCACCAACAAGAGAACUGUCACAGAUCGAAGACCCAGCAGCUCAACUACCACCGCCAACCUCGCCGCCGAACAAAGAGGAACAACAGGCGGCGCACCCGAGGCCCAGACAGAGGGAACGCAAGGAAGAAACCUGGACCUCGAGUCCUGCUGCUUGUCAUUUGAGGCGACGACGGCCAUGCGCGCACACGGCGCAGAGGAUGGCGACCACGUCGCACGAGGUGAGGAGCACGCCGGCGUCAAGGAAUAGAAGCAGCAGCUCGUCGACCUGCGCGAGGACCACGGCGUCGAGCAGGACCCCGUCGGUGGCGAGUGGAUUCGACGGGGAAUGGCGUUCAUGCGCGUCCCCGCCUUGCGCCGUCGCGGCCAACUUCCGCACCAAGCGAUGCCACCUUGCCGUUCGCUGUGAACGUUCUAGCCGAAUGAAUUGACUCACAGUGCCUGGAAUCGCCGCUGCCAUGCCAUUCUUCCUCGACUCCGACCAUGCGCCGCCCCCUCCCGAUCUCCUUCUUCGGCGAUCCCCGGGUUUCAUAAUUGCCCUCUGUAGGCUUCCACUUUGGGCCAGGCCCCAAACGCACUGGCAAGCCACUCCGGCAAGACUCCGGCGAGCACACCGCAUGGGCUUCGGUCCUGAACAGUCUGGAAGCUGGCAACUGGGGUUCCCGCGUGGCUUUUGGUCGUUUGGGUAUUCUGGCUGUGGAUACCCAUAUUUGGUUACUGAGGAACAAAAUGUGGAUAGUUACUCGUAUUUUUUGGGUAUCGAACAAAUAUGGAUAUGUUGCUGGAUCUAUUUUUUAGGUCAAAAUACACAUAUUGACAGUUUUUGGAUAUAUCACCUAAAUAUGGGUAUGCUGUUGGAGAUGCUCUUGCAACAUCUUUCUUCCUCCCUAGCCACAAUAUCUUGCGAAACAAAUUUACACUCAAAAAAAGUCAGAAAUAGCAUCUAAUAAGAGGCCAACAUCUCAGAUGUUAAAUCUAAUUCAACAAAAGUUACAUCCAGUUGCAUGGGGCUCGGGAGGAGAGAGAGAAGUGAACACUUUUAGAAACGAAACACGCUCACAAAUUAUAUUUGGCGCAACAAAAUGAAGUUACUCUCUCCGUCCAACAAAAGAUGUCUUAAUUUUGACCAAAUUUGAAUGCAUCUAUACUUUUUUUUCAAGAAUACACCCAUUCGAUUUAAAGGAGGAAUAGAGUUUGCUGCAAAGCAGCUACAAGCCCAUAUUGGACGGAACAAGACGUCUAUCCGUUAUCUCUCCACUCGCUAGGUAACGACACGAAUUCCUGUCCGUUUAGAAGUCCCGCACGGGUCCACGCAUCCGCCUCGGCACCGAUCGCUCUCAUCAACUUAGCUGUGUGGACUGGGAUGUGAUUAAAGACAUCCGCCUCAGAGGCGAAUGCAUCUAUACACUAAGUCAUGUCUAGAUACAUCUAAAUUUUAACAAAUUUGAGACAUCUUUUGUUGGACGGAGGAAGUACAUCAAUAUUGGCUUUUAAAGCAAGAUGGUUUGAAUCAAGCAAGCAUGCUUGCUUUCAGACUCUCAGUUGCCAAAGUAAACAUGCAAUGCUUGCAGGUAGUUGCAUGUGGGAUAUGCUCCCUCAGGAGUGACGACUCAUGUAUGACAUGAAAACAUUACCUGGGGCAGACAUAUGUAAGUAGACUAAGUACAAAGAGUUAUCAAUCCAAGAGGCUAUAACAGCUACAAGUUCAGUAAUAAGCUCUAAGGGUUCGGCUUUUGCCUGUGUCUAAUUUUGCUUUUUGAAAUCUAAUGAAGCAGUAAUUUGUAACUCUACACUGAUAAAAAGAAGAAACAGGGCUGCUAAAUUCAGUUACCAAGACAUAAGAGUUUGCCCUCUCUUAUUGAUACAGAUUUGACGCAAGAACAUACUGCGCAUACGGGAAACUAUUUCCUGGCCGUGGAGCUCUCAUAAGAGCUGUUGAACUUCUGGAACCAACUCAUUCAUUGUGCUGCAAAUAAUGUCAGAGACAGAGUAUCAGCCCAUUGGCGUUCUUUUUCCAGAAUACCACUGGUAUGUGUAUGGCACAUAAUUCCAUGUAGAAAUGUCUAAAAGAAAUGGCGACGUGCCUUGACAGUUAGUAGACAUUGCAGGGUAGGUCAUGAAGGCAGAAGUGUCACUGUGUUUCUGGAAAGACCGAAAGAGAGAAUAUCACCGAAACAUAAAAUGCAAGGUUAAAUACAGAACAAAAAGGAGAACGCAUAUUGAUGAUCUUUCUAGAGGCAAAUUCUUAUUAUCUAUUUUUACCAUUUCUUAGUGAAAUUAUUUCAUGUCAAAAUUUGUAUAAAACAAAUUGGUCUGUACCUUGAACAGUUAGUGAACAUUGCAAGGCAAGUCAUGAGGAGUGUGUGAUUGACUGAUUGUAUUCUGAAAACAAACAGAAUGUCAUCAUUACAGAGAAAUGAAAGAAUAAAUACACAACAAAAGGUGAAUGCAUAUUCACAAUCUUUCUAGAGGUAAAUUCUUCUUUUCCAUUCUAUGGUGUCUUGUUACAUUAUUUCACGUCAAAAGUUUGUAUAAAAGAAAUUGAGUUGUGUCAUUGCUGGAAAAUAAUAAUUAGAAAGUUGUACAUUGAGCAGUAAACAUUGCAAGGUAAGUCGUGAAAAUAAAGAGGAACAACUGCAGAAAAUGAGAGAUUAAAUGCACAACAAAAAGGAGGAUGCAUAUGAACAAUCUUUCUGGAGGUAAUAUUUUCUUUCACUUUUGUGAUUCUUGAGAUAUCUUUCUCAUAAAAAAAGUCAUGUCAAAGAAAUUGAAGCCUGCUUGAACAGAUAAUGAACAUUGCAAGGUAAUCAUGAGCAAUUGGGUAUCAUUGUAUUCAUGAAAUAAAAAGAAGAGUAUAUCAUUAUUGUAAACUGAAAUGUUAAAUACACAACAAAAAGGAGAAUGCAUACUACAUUUUGUACUGACUAGUGUUCAGUAUGACUAGCAACGCCGAUUUAAAUAGUGCUACGUAUGUUAUUCUGAUGCUUCCAUCAAAGAGUCAAGCAAAGUUGUAAUGGGGAUCACUAUUCAAGCAAAUGCUCCUAGUAUACCCACAAGCACAGAUAUUCACAUUCAGUACACUAAACUAAUGUUCUAUCCACUAUUCAUUCAGACUCUGAUCAGCCUGCUCCUCGCAGUGCACAUUCAGGUUUGCAUGCAGAGAUACAGAUUCAAGACUGCUUUAGCAUCUGAGAAUCUAGCAAUUGUGCUAUCACUCGCUGUCUCCAAUAUGGCCGAUUAUCUUGGACCGAUAAAAAUCAGCUAGUAGUGGAUAGGAUUCAUGGUGAGUUCCUUGUGCUGGCUAAUACUUAUGCUUAAUUCGUGCACAUUCCAUGGACCAGAGGAAUGGAGCAGAUUCUCUUGCCGAACCAGCUAAAUUAAACAUAGAGAGAACCACUAUAGCUUUCCCAUCGUACCAAUAAACUCUUUUUUUUGCGGGUGCGUACCAAUCAACUUCACGUGCAAGGAUUUCCUGUUCUUCACUCUCCAGCCUCCGGAUCUCAAAGUUUUACUAUAAAUUGCGAAGAGAUGAGUAUUUUUUAACCUAGGUUCAACUGCACUAACGAAUUAAUACACAGAUAUGGACUGCAUGCAGACCAAUGUAGCAAACUUGUUGAACUCAUAAUUAUCUUGAAAAGAUAUAGGGUUGAUUGGCAUAUUAUUAUAUUUCUUGCACAUAUGAAGAUACAUUUUAGAAGACGGAUUACCACUAACUGGUCCUUUUGUGGAAAGUGCAAAAGAAAAAGAAAAAAGAACGGAGGCUGCACAAGCCUUAUCAACAAUGGCACAGGAAGACGAGAUCAAGUUACCUCAUCUGAUUCAAUAGUAUCUUUCUUUCCACAGAAAUCAUGGUCAUAAAAUUAGGACAUCAAGUUAUAAUCAGAGAAGAAGAAAUCAAUCACCAAUAUAAAUUAAAUAGACAAAAAAACAGGGUAAAGGAAAAAAACAAGAAGUAUAGAUAUGAAUUAUACAGAUAUG